rnacentral:lncRNA from 1 species
UCAGCUUCUUCACUUCCUUUCCGACACCCGUUACUAGCCUCACUUGUUCCUUCGCCUCUUCAACAGCCAUUGAAGUCAGCUGCUCCAAGAUAGGGGAAAGGAUCGCAUCAACCGUGGUGAAAAAGAAAAAGGAGAGAGAGAAGAAAUUGAUGGUGAAUUGUUGCAAAAGUAAGUAGCUAAUGCUGAAAGAAAUGAAGGAGCUGAUAAUGUGGUGAAAAUGUUGCCGUAUUCUUUCAAUUCUUAUAGUACUGCAAGCAAAAUUCUAAUUUAGAAAUAUUUCAUUUCAGCCCCUUGUGAAAGAAGCUACGGUUAUUAUUAUUACUUUUUUUUUUUUAAUAACAGCAAAGAGUGAAAAUGACGUACAGUUGUGGACAGGAAAUAAUAUAUAUGAAACUGACAAAUUUUUCACGCGGCGAUUCACGCGGUAUAUGAAACAGACAAAGUUUUCUAUGAUCUCUUUUUAAAGAAUUGAACAAGUUGUUAGAUAAUAUUUUUGAUCGUGUCGUCAUAUUGAGAUUUGGAAGCAUUUGCUUUACAAUCACCCAUGAACUUUAUAUUUUUUAGAUUGUUUGAUCUGAAUUAUAAGUGUUUUAUUAGCUUAGAAAUACCUUGACCAUCUCUUUCUUAUUUUCUUCUUCUUCUUUUUUUUUUUUUUUUUAAUUUGACUCGUUUGCAUAAUUAGUUGAAAGGAAAGAAUGAACAUACUAAUAAACUAGGAAAACGCUGCCACAUAAUAUUCUAAGAUUCAUAUCGAACCACUUUAUUUAGAUUUUUUCAUUUUAGCAUAUGUCUGAUAGUGGGAGUUUAGAGUUUAAUCUCUAACUUUGCUUGUGAAGUGGGAAAAAUCAAAUAAUCUUUUCAACUCGUUUUUCAACAAAAAUAGAUCACAAUUCAUCAUCAGUUAUUUCUCAUUAUGUAUAAAAUGAUCAAUCUGGAGCUGGAUAUUCACAUAUUUUUCUAUUUCUAAUCAUCUCAAAAUAUAUAAUAUGAACUUUUAAAAAAAAAAUCAAAUUGUAAUAAAGUGACAUAAAUAUUAAAAAAUGAAAAGAAAAAGUCAAAAAUGUAAUGCGGAAAAAAGACAAAACCUUUUUGUUUGUUCUAUUCAUGGCAUCAUCUAAAUAUGAGAAAUGAUGGGUUGAUUGUCAUUGUGAACAACCAUAUAAUUGCAAGACGUGAAUACCAUCAACGUUAUAAUAAUUCAUGGACCCAUGCAUCCUCUGUUUUUCUAAUUAUUCCGUGUAGAAGGCUAAAGUUUAACGUGUGAUUCUCAAAUUCAUUGUCAAGUGAUUUGAACGUUUUAACGGACAGCGCUUACUUUUCUUUUUGAAGGAGCACAAUAACAACUUGAAGAUUCCUGGAAGUUGCCUGCAGUUCAAAUAUUUUCUUCAGACGAAAACCGUCAAUAAUUUCCAAACUUAGAAGAUAUUUAUUUAUUUUUUCCCAUAACCCACCAAAAACUUUUUCAUUUAGUGUAACUUUGUAAUUUUCUUAGAUGAUACUUAAAACUGCUAAUACCUUCUAAUUAUUGUUUUAAAAAUCUAAAUAAUUGCAUGCCCAAUUAACGGAUCAGUAGUGUCAGUUCGACAUAUUUAUUUUUUUAAAAAAAAGAAAUACACAGUUGUUUGAUGACUCUGGAAUUGAACAUCAGGAAAUAAAGAGAAAAAAUAACACACUUUAUGACGAUCAUUGCAGAUGACAUAACAGAUGUAAGUAUUUAUUGCCAAUUAAUUGGCAUUCUUAUUAUCAAGUAAUUGUUUUAGACUCGAAUUCAAAAGCUCUGCUCUGCUCUGCCCUUCGGUAAUCCGCCUGUUCAAAAAAUAAUAUUGUUUUAAAAAUCUCAGUAACAACAUGCCCAAUCGAUCACACAACGACUUUGUUGAAAUUGAAACAUUAUUGGGAAAUUAAUGAAGAGUAGAGAGCAAUUAGAGAGCUUAAUUAAGCUAAACAAUUUGAUUAUUAACUGUCUAGUCUCUCUUGCACCAUUCCAGUUAUCCUCUGAUCGAUCACACAAUCUAAUGCAUAAUCUAUUCUUUAGCGUGCGGCUUUAAACACAGCUGUUAUAAACUUGGUCAGCUUAACAAAUAUAACGUAACAUAUGAUAUUAUUAAAAUAUUCAAUUAUUCUCUUGGAAAGAAGUAAAUUCACUCAAUUUGAAAAAAGGUUGAUAAAGAUAAAAAUAUUUUAUAUUUUAUUACCUAAUAAUAUUAGAAUCUUAAGAUGCAAUUGGCAUUGUUUUUGUUUUGGUGUUCUUUGUUUUUUUAACGAAUCUUAAUAAAUAUUUUAUUAGAAUCUUAAUAAAUAUUUUAUAUUUAUAACAGUAGUAUUAAAAAUAGCCCAAUCUCGCAAACCAUCAAUUAAAUUUAAGAUAAGUAGUGUUUUAUUAUUCAUUGAGUUAUAAUCUCUAGUAGUUAAGAUUUUUUUGUACGUCAUUAACAUACCAAUAAUGAUAUUCAUCAUUAAAUCUUAUUAUUUUUUUGCAUUUUUUAGGGUGAAAUUGUAAUUUUCAUUUUGGGGGUAAAAAUGUCAUUUUAUUAAGUUUCCGUUAGUUUUCUUAACGGAUUCCAAACGGAAGUGGAAAAGUGAAACAAAAUGUAACUUUAGGUGGAUUCCAGCUAAAAAAAGAAAGAAUUGUGUAUUUUUGAAAAAGUUGGAAAAAAUGGGUGGACGGUGGAUAUUUUCCCUUCAAUUAAUUAUAGAUGCAUGAGACUAAGGGUCUAUUUUAUAGUAAGAUGUGGCUUUUUAAUUAUAACUGUUGUAUAAUAACAACUGUAACUACUAAAAAAAAAAUGAAUUAUGGGAAUCGGGUAAACUUUCAUUUGUAAGUAUUAUGAGUAAUUAAUAAUUUGUAGUUUCGAAAGUAGAAGUACACAUUUUUUGACAUGCCUUGAAAAUCUGUAUGUAACCUUAUAUCUAAAUAACUGAUCAAGUAUAUAUCAAGUAAUUCAAAAAUGGGCUGGGACUGAUGGUAAUUGUAGACGUUUUGAGGAUGAGUGAUACUAUGGGCACUACUCUAGAAACUUUAAAACUCCUUUUCUUUAUUUAUUCAAUCGAGCUCCAACCACUUCCUUCGGCGAUCGAGCUCCAGCCACAGCCAUUCGCAAAUUGCAAUCCACAAUCCGCGCCUGAAAUUGCCAUUCACAAUCCACAACUCACAGCCAUGACUUCACAUAGAGAACAACUCCCACAGCCAUCACGCGACAGCGAGAUCGAGCUCUUUUAACAUUCGAAGAGCAGAUCUGGUUGCGAAAGUUGAUUUUUAAUUUGCUUGCGAGCUGAGAUAUUUCGAAUUUUCUCUUUUAUUUAUUUUUUAUUUUUGUAAGUUACUAAGCCAAAAGCUUUGCAUAAGCUUCUGCUUCGGUUUUGCUAGUAUGAGAAGUAAAUUAAGGGACUUUUACUUGUUUAUUUAUAUUUUUGGUAGUUGCUGCAAGUGAUUUUUCUUUUUGAAUUGUUUUCUUUUGACACUUGUGUUGAACAACGAAGUGUAAUUUCGUUAAGAAGAGGAUGACAAAAUUUGAAGAUUGUGAAGCUGCAAAUGUUUUUUUUCCCUUUUCAUAAAUUGCUCAUGGUGCAGUCUCCUUUUGCUUGUUGAAGAAACAGUUAAGGGGGUAUGUAGUUGGGAAGAAAGAGGAAAUGAAAAUGAAAAGAGAAAGCAGAAGUUAAGUCCUCAGGUGGCAUUUUUUCAAUUAAAAAAAUUAAUGACAUCGUUUUCUAAAGCUUCGGGGUUUGACCCGGGGUAAAUAGCCGAACUCUUUUCUUUUUGAUGGAGCACAAUAACAACUUAAAGAUUCCUGGAAGUUGCCUGCAGUUCAAAUAUUUUUCAUUUGAACAAAAACCGUCAAUAAUUUUCAAACUUAGAAGAUAUUUAUUUAUUUUUCCCAUAACCCACCAAAAACUUUUUCAUUUAGUGUAACUUUGUAUUUUCUUAGAUGAUACUUAAAACUGCUAAUAUCUUCUAAUUAUUGUUUUAAAAAUCCCAAUAAUUGCAUGCCCAAUUAACGGAUCAGUAGUCUCAGUUCGAUAUAUUUAUUAAAAAAAAUAAGAAAUACAGAGUUGUUUGAUGACUCUGGAAAUAAAGAGAAAAAAUAACACACUUUAUGACUAUCAUUGCGAAUGACAUAACAGAUGCCAGUAUUUAUUACCAAUUAAUUGACAUUCUUAUCAAGUAAUUGUUUUAGACUUUAAUUCAAAAGCUAAGCUCUGCUCUGCUCUGCCCUUCGGUAAUUCCCCUGUUCAAAAAAUAAUAUUGUUUUAAAAAUCUCAAUAACAACAUGCCCAACAUAUUUUUUUUUAAAAAAAGGAUCGAGCAACACCGUAGCUUUUGUCAUAACGACUUUGUUGUAACUGAAACAAUAUUGGGAAAUUAAUGAAGAGUAGAGAGCAAUGAGAAAGCUUAAUUAAGCCAAACAAUUUUGAUUAUUAACUCUCUAGUCUCUCUUGCACCAUUCCAGUAAUCCUCUGAUCGAUAACACAAUCUAAUGCAUAAUCUAUUCAUUUAAUUAAUCAAUUUGAAUAUAUAUAUAUAUAUAUAUAUAUUUGUUAGAGUGACGCUAUUGGCACCCCUCUAUAUCAAUUAAAGAAAUAUAUUUUAAAGGGAGCUGGUAAGUAAUUUACAACCCUUCAAACUUACGUGAACAGUAAUAGUAAUUAUAAUAAGUGGUGGGAUCUAGAUCUACUGCAUGAAUUUUAAAGGAACUAUAAAUUAUUUAACAAAAUCUUAUUUUAAAACGAUUGUGCGGGACACAGCACAUGCCAACCCGGGCUUUAUCUCUUUUCACUAAUCAUAUAUGUAGUGGCAGACAUCGGUGGCCAAUUAAGGGAUGAACACAACCACUCCACCAAGUAAAUCUUGACGCGUGUGCUUUUAUUUCCAAUUAUUCUACUGUCUUUUUCUAAUUACUUUUAUCGCAGAAGUAAUUAAUUCUGAAGGAAAUGAAGGAGCUAAUAAUGUCGUGAAAGUGCUGCCACAUUCUUCCAAUUCUUAUGCUGCAAGCAAAGCUCCAAUUUACAAAUAUUUCAUUUCAAAAGAAGUUAUUGUUAUUAUUAUCUUUCUUUAUUCUUUUUAAUUUUUUUGACCAGUGUGGACUGGAAAAUAUUGUCAGGUCCUACAUCCGCGAUUCACGCAGUAUAUGACCUGAUAAAUAAUACACGGGUCUUAUUAUGUUACAGUUUUAUGUGUGUAAUAGCCCAUGACCUGAUAAAUAAUUUAUUAAGAGAAGUAAAAAUUUAAUGAUUGCAUAAAUAAUUCGGUAACAGAAUUCUUUUCACCCGUUAUUAAUCGCUUGCAGAUGACUUACUGAAAUUGUAAAUAUGUUGAACAGUGUUUGACUGUGAAGUGUGAAAAAUUAAAUAAUCUUUACUAUUAGUUUUGCAAUAAUAAUAAACAACAAAUCAUUGUUAAUUAUUUCUUAUUUAUUAUGUAUAAAUUGAUCUAUCCAGAGCUGGAUAUUUACAUAUUCUUCUAUUUUUGAUCAUUUUGAAAUUUAAUAGAAUUUUUUUUUAAAAAAAAUCAAUUUGUAAUAAAGUGUCAUAGAUAUUAAAAAAUGAAUGUUAAGGUCAUUAUUUAUAGAGUUGGCAUUUUAUGACAAGUCUAGUUAAAUUGGAAGUUUAUUUAUUGCAUAUCUUGUAAUAGAGAUUAAUUUAUUAAUUCCCUAAUUUAGUCAGAUUCUAAUUUAUUAGGAAUAUUUGUUUCCUAAUUUAAUUAGAUGUCUAUUUUAGCAAGUCAAUUAAUGGUGGGAUUCUAUAAUUGGCGCAUGAGAUUUAUUUAGAGCAAAAAGUUGGUUCAAAUAGGAAGUCUUAAGUUUGGUAAAUCCAUAGGUUGUAACAUCUCAACUUAGUGAAUUGUUUUUCAUCUGAGUGUGGCCUCGUGGAUGUAGGAUUGAUUAAUCUGAACCACGUAAAAAUCUCCGUAUCAUUUAUUUUCUACAUUUUAUUGUGUUUUUUGAAAAAUUAAUAUUUUUUAUGCGGAUGAACACUAACCGUAAACAGUAAAUGUGAACAGCAACCGUGAAUAAUUGCUGUGAACAGUAUCCAUAAACAAUACUUUUGAAAAAAUUAAUCUAUUUUUGAUACAUCUAAAUUCCUUUCAAUGAAAAUAGAAAGUCAAAAUUGUAAUGCUCAAAAAAGACAUUAAUUGUUGUAACUUAAAAGAUAUAUUCAUAUAAUUUUUCAGUUGUAUAAUAAAUUUUUUUUAUAUUUUUAAUAAUUUUAUUAAAAUUAUUAUUUAAAAUUUAUAUUCAUUAUAUUAUUAAGUUUUAUUUUAUAAUUACAGGUUAUGGGAUGUAAAGGAGUUUGGGAGCUGUAGCCUUUAGUUGGCUUAGGGAGAUGUUAAAGUUUUGAGAAAUGCUUAGAAAUUUAUUUUAUAUAACACGUUCUCAAUUUUAUUACUAUAAACUUACGCUGUAUUGUCUAGUCUUAGUAAGUAACGACUCAAUUGGAUGUGGGAGGAUCCCUUCCGCUUUGACCAAAAAAACUGUUUCGAGGACAGUUUUCUAACUCAACUCAAUUGCGGAACAAACAAAGAAACGCUAAGAACAUUAAUUAAAGUUAACAUACAGAGCAAACAAGUCAAGAGCACACACAAGAGGAGACAGACACUUGGCCAAGAAAAUAAUUGACCAGGGAAUUUACAAGGAAACUCUCUUUUCCAGAAGUUACAAGAGCCCUGACACUAUUCCUCUCGAGGUCUAGUUCAAGUCGCCCAAGCCUCUCAAGCUCCCUUAAGAACUCUGCUUUCUUGCUGUUCAAGAAAGCGCCUGAUUGGAAUCACAUGCUCCACGUGACAUCUGGCAUAACUAAAUCUGCUGCCGUACCCAGCCAAUUUAUGGUGCCACUUAUGAUACCCUGUCUCGUCAGCUUCCGUACCCUGCGUCAUCAUAGGACCUUACAUCUUGGAACCUCCAUGAAAGCUGAAUCUCUAACAGCCCAUCAUAAAGAUAUUAGUUCUAAAAUAGGGAAAUUACCAAAAAUACCUGCGCAUUUUGAAAUUUGUCAAAAAAUGAAGAGUAGAAAGCAAUGGGAAAACGUAAUUAAACAACCAAUUUGAUUCCUCGGAUCGCUUUCAUCUCAGGACUCUUUGUCUUCCCGUGCGUCUUCGAUUCCACAGGACAAUCUUGGAUUGAAUUUAUACAUCAGAAGAAAAUAUCAGUAUGCCCAAAAUAAAAAGUUGCUUCCAGUGCAGAAAUAAGAGAAAUUGACACACCUUUUUCCACCACAGAAGAUGGUGUCAUAUAGAAGUAUUCUGUCGCAGACUUAACAUACCUAUCAAGUAAUUAAUAAUUCCUACUUUAAAAAGUAGAGCAAUUGGAUAUCUAAUCCGAAAAUUCAAGAUAUAAUAACUCUUGAAAAUUAUAUAUUCAUAUACAUGUUAGUAGCGUGAUGCUACCAAUAUUCGCACCUUUAGCAUUCAAACACUUGAUCAUUGAAAGAAUUUAAGAAAAAUGUUGAUUGGUUACUGACAUUAACAUAACAUAAAAUUUGAUCCACAAUUUACUCAAUUUCUGAGUUGGCUUACCAAAAGUAUUGUAGCAGAAAUAACCAAAUCAACCCAGGUCCUUAUAUGGAGCCCCUGCGCGUCAAUUAAAGUAAAAGCUCGAUCCUCUGUUAUCCGAAAUGGUCAAACAAAUAUUAAACCAAAAUGUUGAAGUCUCUUUCUUUUGCAAUUCUAGCUCUAACUGAUGAGAUUGAUGGAAAAGAAUAACCAACAUUAAGAUUAAUUUUUAUUUCAAUUACUAGGAAAUAGAGAAUUAAAUGGAAUUCUCUCAGUAAAGCUCACCAAUAUCUGUCUCCGUCAUCACAUAGAUAUAUCAGACUAGCUAUCUAAUCCUUUUAUUUUAUUUUUUUCCUUUUUCAUUCAACAGCUUCAGCAUAUAACAAGAAAGCUUGGGCUCCUACAAUGCUUAGGCCUCUUCACGAUUAAGUACUCGUACGGUAGCGCAAGUAGCAGGCCUGGCACCUCUCUGGAUCUGCCAGAGAAUAAAUCUUUACACAUGCCCCCUGAAAAUCUGUUACAUAAAUUAUGUCCUAAUAAUCAGCAAUAAUUCAAAGAUGCGGAUAAAAAAGCACUAUAAUGUACAAACAUACACCUCGUUCAUAUUUUUUGUAUCACAUGAGGCAUAAACUCCUCAAGAGUCAAGUCCGACAUUUAAUUCAACCCAUAAACUUGUGCUUGUAGCCCGCAUAAAUGGUUAAACAAAUAUUAUAUUUUCGACUUGAAGAUUGGAUUACAAAUAUAUAAUAGGAAAGUAAAAUGGAGGAGGAGAAAGAAAUUACCUGUAGUAGUUGAGAAAUUACUGCCAAAAAUAGAAUUACCCGUAGGAAUUUUAUUUGGUUAGUAAUUGAGAAAGAAAUUACCUUAGGUGAUGGCUGAAAGGAAUUUAGAUCUAUCAUAAAUAGAUGUAAGCAAUUAAAAACUAAAAAUUAAUUACUUAAUUAAUUUUUUUGGAAAUACUGUUCACUGUUACUGUUUACGGUUCUGUUCACCACAACUGUUUACCGUUACUGUUCAUCCGCAUAAAAAAUAUUAAUUUUCCAAAAACACAAUAAAAUGCAGAAAAUAAAUGACACAGAGAUAUUUACGUGGUUCAGAUUAAUCAAUCCUACAUCCACGAGGCCACGCCAAGAUGAAAAGUAAUUCACUAAGUUGAGAUGUUACAACCUAUGGAUUUACCAAACUUAAGACUCUCACUUAUAGUUUAUCACCAUACAGUUUACUCAACCUUGGACUGAAUCUGCUUCUCUUAAAUAAUUGCUACCCCUCUUGAUCCACGAUUCUCAAGGCACUUCGCAAAGUGAUCAAUAGCAAUUCUUCAAUUCUUCAACGUCUAGUGAUCCAAGAUCCACAUAGAGUCUCAACAGAGAUGAAAAGAAGAUAAUAAAACAAAUCAACACAACAUGGUGCGCCAAAUUCGGAUUCUCUGGGGAGGAGGCCGAAUUAUUGCUUCUCUGCUUUAUGCUUUGCAUUGUGCCUGUCUUCAAUUGUGAAAUACCUCUAUUUAUAUAGGCACUAGGGUUUCACCAAAAUAGAAAGUUUGAAAAGACUUAGAUACUUUCCAAAUAAGAGUUUCUUUCCUCUUAUAAUUCCUAUGAAUCUGAAUAGGAAUAAAUAUGAUCUUCUUGCAUUACUUGUCUCCUAAGAAAUAUCUAGAGCAUUUAAUGACUUCUUGUUUGAACUAACUUCUUGCUCUAAAUAAAUCUCAUGCGCCAAUAAUAAAACACCACCAUUAAUUGACUUGCUAAAAUACACAUUUAAUUAAAUUAGGAAACAAAUAUUCCUAAUAAAUUGGAAUCUCACUAAAUUAGAGAAUUAAUAAAUUAAUCCCUAUUACAAGAUAUGCAAUAAAUAAACUUCCAAUUUAAGUAGACUUGUCAUAAAAUGUCAACUCUAUAAAUAAUGGAAUUAACAAUGGCUAUGGUACUUGCGGUACUCGUUUUAAAAAUCCUCAAGGUUCGAAUUUGACAUAUUGGUGAUUGAUUAGGAUGCUGGGAAUGUGGCAUAUCUUGGGGCAGUCCUCUCUUGUUUCCUUUCCAUGAUGUUCUUCUAAAACAGAACAUGAACUAAUAUCCGAAUCCUGUAGUGUUGUUUGUUGUGCGCGGAAUGCGGAAUCAAGCGCACCAAAAAAUCACAGAAAAAUAAAGGACACAAAAUUUAACUCAGAUACUAUCUAUGAAUAAUAUAACACAGUACCUCACUUCAUGCAAGCUUUGAUAUAUUAUUCCUUCUAUCUAUUUAUCCACUGCUAAUUGUUUUAUAAAAAAUUUGGUGCACUGUAGUGAACCCAAUAACUCCUAGCUAGAAGCAACAAUGUCCAAUUAAGCCGCUGAUACAAUCAAUCAAACAAUAAGGAAAGGAUCAACAACACAAAAAGCACACGCAAGGCACAAAGAUUUACAUGAUAUAUCCACAGGUGGUGAUGCUGGUAUCCACUGUACGUGUGAUGAAAACAAGUGUAUAUAUAUAAAGAACACUACCUGUCUCCUCACAAUAACCCCCUAGAACACAAGCGCAAAUAAAAAUGAGCCAAUUCCUGCUCUGCUGUGCCCUCAUGUACGUAACUCCUCUGCUAAGAAAUAUUGCCUUAAAAUAUCGGUAGCAUAUGCAUGCAUGACCAGCAAAUCAAUUAGACAUAUAAAAUUAUCAACCACACAGGAAAUCAGCAAAUCAGUGGUUUCAUGAAUUUGUAAUAUUUGAACAUCAGAAUAUGAAGAGUACAGGGCAAUGGGAAAAAGUAAUUAACCAUCCAAAUAAAUUUAAAUCCAAAUAAGAUAAGUAACGUAUGAANNNNNNNNNNNNNNNNNNNNNNNNNNNNNNNNNNNNNNNNNNNNNNNNNNNNNNNNNNNNNNNNNNNNNNNNNNNNNNNNNNNNNNNNNNNNNNNNNNNNGUAUUAUUAUGGUCACUGUCUUCAACCUGCUAACCAAAUCCAAAAAAUUGGUCUUCCCGACUGAGUAAGUGAGCCCUGAAAAGACAUUACCCAGCUUAAAAGCCAAAUGAAUGUAGACUUGUGAUUGGUGCAAUUGGUUUUAAAGAAAUUAGUAUGCAUCCCCACUGAAAGCCAGUAAAUAGAGUUGAAGAAGAUGCUAAUGUGCCACAGCUAACAUAAGCAUAAUUUGAUCAGCCGAAUGACUACCAAAUGAAAAAGCGACAUAAACUUAACAGAACUGUUAGGAUUAAUCGAAGACACAUAUAUUUGUGCCAAUUUUCACACCUUUAGCAUUCAAACCUUGCUCUAGAACAACUGCUGUGGUCCGAUGCUGCAGGCAAAAAAUUUGACCUACGAAGCAGCCUCACUCACCAACCCAGCCCCAAAUAAAUUUUUUGAAAUGCCUUGAAAACCUUAACAUUAUAUCCAAAUAAACAUAACUUGUGUUUGUGACGUAAUGAGAUUGCAGUGCAUUCGUAGAGUGUACACUUAUCUGCCAUUUCGUCGGAACAAAUUUUUUUACUUCUCUUAAAAUUUGCAUAAUAAAUUGCAAUAUGGACAAGUACCUACUUGGAUAUGAUUAUAUUUUUGUUCUAGUUUAUAACCUGUUUUCAAUUUUUUAGAUAUCUAUGAUUUUCAUUAAAUCACUACUCUAGUUGGCAUUUCGCACCACCCGCAAUUGAUUAGUUGCUCUCUAAUCCAACAAAAUUAAUAUGGAAAGAAAUGAAUGGCCAGCGAUAAAUAUUCCAACAUUAUGCAUUAAGCCAUUCCACUCCUACAAAACUGAAUCUCUUUGACAGAAUGCUUUUUCACGUGAUCAUGUAUGUGUCAAAGUUUUGUGACAGAUAUAUUAUUUUGCAGAUGUGGCAAACACAAUCGUUUCAAAAUCUUAGAGGCCUUGAAAUUUUGAUUAUUACAAAAUCUAAGAGGAUAGUUACAAAAUUCUGUCACAAAUAGUAAAAGUUAAGUGAUUCUUGACAUAAUACUAUCAAAAGGUUUAAAUAAAAUCUCACAUUUUAAUAUUUUACAAAAAUGUGUUUUAAAUUUUUUUUUUGACAUAAUUCUAUCCAUGAAUUUUCUUUUAAAAUUUUUAAUUCCACGUAGGCAUUGAAAAAUGACAGCUUUAAAAGAUUCCAAUGAUUUAACUGAUGUGAAUAUAUCUUCAAUAAGUCAACAACAAAAUUCUAUGAAACAAAAUUUACUAUUUUAAUUAUUUUAUAUUGCCACAUCAAUAAACUAAAACGAUGACAUUUCAUAUGCUCAAAAAAGAAAAACUUAUGUAGGCCGAGAUCGCCAUCUCAUCAUUAUUAAAGAGGCGUGUUCAACCAAUAAGAAUUUGCCAUCUAAAAAGUUCAAUCAGUCUUUUGAAAAGCCUGGCUCGAGUCUGAGCCUGAGUGUUUCAGGUCGGACUCAGCCUAAGCUUGGGCAUAAAACAGUAAAACACAAUAAAUGCUCAAAAAAUAAAAGAAUAAAUAUUUUAUUUUUAAUUAAAAUACACUUUUUAAUAUAUGUUUAACGUAUCCGGAACAUAUAUUUAAAGUUUUAAUUCUUUAACAGAACUUUUAAUACCUAAUCUAAUAAGAAAGUUUAUAAAUUAUAAAUUUAUAGAAUACAAUGAAAAAGGUUUAAAAAAAUUAAAGUAUAAAUAUGAGGUUUUACAAUUAAAAUAUCAAAUGGUGGCAAAAUGAGCAGCCAAAAAGUGCGCCAAAUCAAAAUUAUCCAAAAUUCCUCUCUUCGAUUCCCUUUUUAUUUUAUGUACCGCUGAUAUAAAAUUAACACAAAAACAUUCUGAAAUCGAAAGCUUGGAACGAAUCUCACGCCUCUCGCCUUCUCUUUCUCGCAUUUCUCAUUCCUCUUUGCCUCUCUCUCUCUCUCUCUCAAAGGAUUACGUUUAUGGAUUUGCCAUUGNNNNNNNNNNNNNNNNNNNNNNNNNNNNNNNNNNNNNNNNNNNNNNNNNNNNNNNNNNNNNNNNNNNNNNNNNNNNNNNNNNNNNNNNNNNNNNNNNNNNNNNNNNAGAGAGAAAUGUUCAAGUCAGGAAUUUUAAAGUGCAGGAAAGUACGGGAAACCUUUAAAACCGCAUGGUUUUAAAGGCUUAAAACUGUAAGCCUUUAAAGCCGUGUGAUUUUAAAGUUUUUCUGGACUUUCCCGUACUUUAAAUUCCCUGACCAGAAAACUACUAUAUAUAUAUAUAUAUAUAUAUUUGUAUAAUUUCAGCAAAGGUCCAGAUCGCUCAAGGCCUAAUUUCAUCUCAAGGUUUGUCAUUUUCCUCUUGAUUGCCUUUCGUCAUUGGUUUCUCAUGUGACAUUACUUUACUUUGUUCUUUGCUUAUUGUAAAUUUAUUCACGGUUUCUACAUUAUAAGUUACGGUCUUUGUUUACUUUUAUUAAAAAUUAUGGUAUAUGAAUAAUAAUAAUAAUAAUAAUAAUAUUGGCUUGUUUGCGUAAUUGUCUUCGAUAUUGACUGUAUUUACAAGAUUCUCUGUGACAUAUUUCUUAUUGUGAUUGUUUAAUUAGUCUCGAUUGCAAUUUUUACAAGAUUUGAUGAAUGUUAAAAUUUAAGUACCAAUUUAAAUUUGUACACCAAGUGUUUGUUAUAAUGCCAUGUGUUAUCUUCAAUAGAUUUUUUUUUUCUUUAACACGUAGUAUAAGCCUGAUAAUAUUUUUCAAUUUCUUUCCAAGAUGCAGUUUUUGAUAAAGAAUAAAACAAAUGAUUGAGACUGUUUCGAUGCUAAUUUUUCAAAUUAGCGCAUAUUAUGCUACUUCAUCUCAAGCAACCUAUGAUGAUAGCUAAUAUUGAUGCAAUAUUCUGUCAUGCCUGCGGAUUCAACUUGCUAAGAUUUUGGUUAUGCCUUCAGGUUCAAGCAUUGUUGCUGAUUAUGUGAGCUGUUGAGAUUUUAGUAUUGAGCAUGGCUGCUUUAGAUUCAAUUUGAGCAAAUGUAAUUGUUUCCUUUUAAAAAAAAAUUACAUUUUCAGAAACUGUUAUAAAGAUUGUCAGCAGUAUUAUUUCGUAUUAAUGUCAACUUCUCAUUUACAUAUCUUAACUAAAGCUUUAAUUUCUUUUAAUUUCUCCAUCCUUCAGGGGAGGAUUUGAUGAUUUGCUAUUGUGUGAGAAGAAAGCCAAGAAGCAGAUGUAGAGGGUUGUUAUUGUUUGGGAAUUAUUUUUCAGUGGGGACAAUUUCAUAAAAGUAAUUUAAUAAUGGAUCAAUUUUAUAAAUUUUCUUUUGUAGUCAGGGCGAACUAAUAUGUUACAAUUCAAAAUAUUAGCGAAACGAUUUUCUUCUCUCUCUCAAAUCAUGCUCACCACUCUCAAUCGAAAAAACAUAGUCCUCUGCUCUGACUUCUCAGUUCUCACCCUUAAUAACACAGUUCUUUUUUUGUACUCCAUCGAAAAUUCAUAAAAUAAUGAUAAUGAGACUAUUAUUGAAUAUUUUUAAAAUAUGAAAAAGCAUUGAGAACAAGUGUAAGAAUAUUUUUACUGAUAUCAAUGAGUAUUAAACUUUAAACAAUUAUUUUCACUAAUUCUUUUAUUAUAAUAUUGUCCCCAAUGAAUUAAUUUCCUGGAUCACCUCUAUUUGAAUUUUAUUUUUUUACUAUUUUUUUCUCAUUGUUAAAUUUUCACAUAUGUAUCUUUCAAGUACAAAAUCCCUUUUUUUCUCUUUUUUUUUUCUUAAUCUUGUUUAAUAAGAACUGAAGUUAAUCUUAAAUGUUAAUUGUUCGUUUUGACAAACAUAGUUCUAUGUGUAUGUGACUUUUAAUUUCUGUUAUUCCCUUUUUUCAGAUGUAACCUUGAACAUUAUUAUAACAUAGUGUGGUUUUUUCUUAUAUUAAAAGUUUGGAGGUGGUCAAAUGGGUAAAUUUUCCAAUAAUUUUCCAACGUGUCUAUGAAUCUUGUGUCGGCUCUUCAUAAUCUUUAUCAAAUUCUCAAUAAUUUUUAUCUUAUCUGAUAUAAUAUUAAAAGCUUGAACUCCUAUAGAACUCUCGAUGAAUUUCUUUCUAUUUCUUGGAGUUCACUUAUACGUGACAGAUGUAAAAUUUAAACCCUAAUAUCAAUGAAAAUACGUAUUAUCCCAAGUAAUUAAAUGGGACCGUUUUGCUAGGAAACAGACAAGAAACGACAGUGAAUACAUUUUACACCAAAUUUCUUAAAAAGAAAUUGAUAAAAUAGGAUGCCUGCGUUCCAAGAGUGCUUUCUUAAAAAUAGAUACACAAAAAUAUUUUAAAGUGUUUUUAUAAGGGGAAAAAAAACUUAUUAAUAUGAUGCAUGCAUUUCAAGAGUGUGCUUUCUUAUAAAUUGUUGUUAUGAAAAUAAUAAUAAUAAUAAUAAAUUAAGAUUUGAAUUUGAAUGACUAAUUAAUUAAUUAAACUAGUAGUAGGUAAACCCAUGUUAUUAAUUUUUUUUAAUUUUAUAUUAUAAGUUCUGAUUACAUUCCUCAAAUCUGUUGAAAGUUAUGCACUUAACACAUCUGAAGAAAAAUUGAGUUUGAUAUAUUGAUUGAUUGCACAAAUAUGGUCUAUAUAGAGUAGACGGACCCCGUUGGGAGACAUUUUGAUAUGAGGGUCUGAGGAUGGGUUUGUGUUUUCCAAUUGAGUUUGAUUAUAUUGAUUCACAAAUAUUCAUGUCUUGUUUUUGGUUGGUGCAUACUUUUAAUUAGGGAUGGCAAUGGAUUGGAUCUGAUCCAAGAUUCAUGUGAUCCAAAUCCAAUCGGAUCGGAUUUGAAUCGGUUUAAAAUGGAUUUGGAUCGGAUUUGGAUAUCCAUGUGCGGAUCUAAGACGGAUCUAGAGCAGAUCUAAAUCUAUCUUAAUAUCUAAAUCCAUAUCCAUAUCCACUCAUCUUUUAAUUUUAUUUUAUUUUAAAUGUUUCUUAACAAUUGUGAAAUUAUAAUGAUAAUAAAUUUUAUUCAUAACAUAUUAGUAGUAUUUACUAUCCAUUUAAACUCUCAAAACUUAAAUGUUAGUUUUGUAAAUUUAAAGGUCAGCCAGCCCCAAAGCAUGUACAUGCAAUAUUCAAAUUGCAAGUCAAGUAAUAUAACCUGGCAAUUUAUUUUAUUAUAUUGGCCAAAUAAUUUUUAAGAAAUAUAGUUAUUCAUAUAUUUAAUCAAAUAUGGUCAUAAUAAAAAUAAUAAAGGACUGAAUAUAAAUCAUAUUUAAUUUAUAUGUCAUUAUCUAAUGUUGUAGGAAUGAUGGUAGGUGUAUCGUGGAUAUUAGAAUGAUGAAGGAGACAAUAGAAUAUUAGAUUGGUCUUACUCCUGCAAUUACUUCGGAAUGAUAUUUUAUUAUCUUUCUUAUUUGUUGUUUUGGUGUAAAAGUAUAAGCUACAAUAUUUAUUAUAUUUUUGAGAAAAUUAUAUAAUUUAUUUGUUAUCAAUACAUUUUAGCCUUCAAUUUUCAAUCUAAAAAAUUAUUACUUUUUUAUUACUGAAUUUUAGAAUUCAUGACGGAUCUAGAGCAGAUUUGGAUUUUAAUUUUUUUUUUCGGAUUUGGAGCAGAUAUAGAUAUUUAUUUCUUUUUUGGAUCUGGAUAUGAAGCGAAAAAUAUGGAUUCAUGACGGAUCUGGAGCAGAUACGGAUCUUAAUUUUUAUUAUGGAUUUGGAUUUGGAGCAAAGUAGAUCCAAUCCAUAUCUAUACCAUUGCCAUCCCUACUUUUAAUGACUUUGUUUUGCGGUUCUUGUGUUGUAUGUACAUAUUGUUUCCUUUUCUGUCACUAUAUUCUUACAAGGACUUUUUUGAUAGAAUAAAAUUAUGUCAGUAACAUGGUCUGUGACAAAAAUUAUUCUGUAAAAAAAAAAAAACUCAAUUUUGUAGUGGUUCCAAAUAAUGGUUUAGUUUCUUUCCUCCUCGUUUUGUCAAUAAUUGAUUCUAUUCCUGGUUAAAACAAGUUCUUUACUUCUCUAAAAAUGUGCAUAAUUUCCCCACUUAUAGAAGUGUCAAGAUAUUUUUGACUUUCUUUUUUUUUAAGGACUAAUACUAAUUUAUUGUUUGGUUGUAAGUACUAGAAAUCAAACAGGAGAAAAUAAUUGAGUUUUUUUUGUUAACUUAAAAAUACGUAUUAUAAAUGUUACUUAUACAAAUGCAUAUUACUAUUCAAAAUAAUAAAAAUUUUGCAUUGGAAACAAUUUUGAAAAAAAAAUAAAAGUUUUUAAUGGAGAAAGGAAUUGUGGAGGGAAAGUUUGAUAGAAGAUGCACACUAGCUAGUUUUGGAAUUAUACCGUCAGGCGUCAAUCAUUUUAUAAAAAAAAAUGGAAAUAAUUUGAUCAGCCACCAGAGUUUUACUUCAGUGAUUUUCUCAAUACGACGUACGGUCCUCAAAACCUUAUCAUGAUGCUUGUAUAUUCUAAGCUUCAUGACAUCAUAUUAAAAACGUAUUGCUAAGGUAAUUUGAAAUUCGUUUUAUCCAAUGAAUGUUACAUUUACUGGUAUGUUUAAUAUUUUGUUUUGGUUAAAAAUUUUGCUAUCUAACAGCUAAUAACUGAAUUUGACUCAUUUUUAUGUAAAUUUUAUAGACCCACCGAUUCACCAUUUUUUUUAAUGUUAUGAUCAUUGUAGGCAUGUUAUAUUUUAAAUUAUGACUCCAUGCGAAAUCAAAAUUUAAAUUUCACCAUCUUUUAUAGGAUUAGAUUAUGAUAAUCAAAUAACACAAUAAACAAACACAAGGUAAAAAAAUUUACAUGGUUCGACAUAUUAAUUAAUAUGCCUACAUCCACGGAUGAUGAUAUUAAUUAAUGAAAAAGUGUAUAAAUAACAAUAAGCUCUCAUGUGCGCCAAAAAGAAAAAAAAAAGAAACACCAAAAUCAACACUCAAAAUCAAUCAAUCCCCAGCAGUUUGGCCUCACAAGAGCUCUCUCUGUGUUGUGCUUUCCCUCAUUCAUUCUCUUUACAAAUACAAGGCUCGCAAAAAAACAAACCGAAUUACUAAAAACAUACAUAACAGAUUAAAAAAGCACGCGCCGCGCCCGUCCCCCAAUUCCUGAUUUGCGACGCUGAAAAAUAUCGCUUUCCCCAAAAAAAAAAACAAAUGAAUCAGUUACACAAAUAUAUCUAAUUUUAAAUUAAUGAAGAAGAGUAGAGAGAGAGCAAACGAGAAGGAAAGCGUAUACAAAUUAUAAUUACUAACCAGAGUUAUUAGCACCAUUACAUAUAUAUAUCCCUGCUGAAUUCCCCCUCCUCUGUUCACCAUUCGUUUCUAAAAUGGAUUAAAAAAUAACUACUAAUUAAUUUUAAUUAAAAUAGAGUGAGACACGCAAUGCAUGCAGGAGAUCUAGAAAUAAAUUACCCGUCGCGGUGGCCGUGGGUGAUUGUAAUUGACUAAUUGCAGCCGCGCGCUUUCAGGCAAUGGAGAUUUUGGGAAUGUGGCGUAUCUUAGGCCAGUCGUCUCCUGUCUCCUCUCUGUAACGUUCUUGUAAAAUAGGACAUUCCCCAAAAAUCUCCAAAUUCUGGAGCGUUGACUUCUGAAGAAGGUGAUCGGGCAGUGCUUUUAAUUUAGGGCAUCUCAAAAUAGUCAACCUAGAAAGACGCGGCAUGAUUAUGAUUUCUCCCUUCAUUGCAGUCCCGAAAUCCCACUCUUCCAAUUCUUUUAUAAAACGAAAUUCCAGCUCUUUCAAUUUGGGAAAGGCAAUAACUGAGGAGCCAUCCGUAUCACUUUCUACCCCCAGAAAUUCGUUACCCACUCUUUUCACACCCAACAUUCCGCCAAUAAGAAGACCUUCAAGGGAUGGCAAUUUUCCCAAAGGAGGCAAAUGCUCGCAAUUUCUCCACCAGAAGAGAGAUAAAUCCUUUAAGUUGGUUAACGACAUGAACCAAUUUAUGGGGACAACAUUCCUCCUCCCUCUGUAUCCAUUUAUCCGUAAUUUCUUUAAAUUAGGAGGUGGUCCCAAGGCUUCAAGAAGCCGUUCAUCUUCAUCCUCCUCAUUCUCCCUCCUCCCAGCUAGUUCUUCAUCUCCAUCUCUUAAAUGAUCAAAAUAAAGUUCCAACUCAACGAGAUAUUUCUUUUUCUCAAGUUCAGCCCUUCUAGCCUCCCCCGCAUCUGACACACCACCCAGCCCACGUAUACUACAUUGUCGAAGGAGGUUAAGCUUUUUAAGAGACCCAAGGCUACAUGCUCUAUCAUACCCUCCCCCCACAACAAACUUUGUCACAUCCCGAAGACUGAUUAAUUCCCCAAUCCCUACCGGCAAGUAUCUUAAACAAUCAGUGUCUUCAUUGUGUAAAUACAUCAGCUUUCUUAACUUCCCAAUCCCUCGAGGUAAUUCUCUAAGAUUUUCACAUUCAUCAACAUUUAAACGUUCUAAAUUAUAUAACUCACACAACGUCUCGGGUAAUUUUUCUAUCUUCUUUUGACCUUUCAAAUUAAGGUAUUUCAAAUGUAACAAUUUUUCUAUAUUUGUUGGAAUUUCCUUGAUGUCAUUCACACUUGACUGCCUAUCACCCGCCUUUAAUUUUAAUGCCCUUAAACAAGUUAAUUUAUCAAAUAAUUGAGGCAGGACUUCACUAGACCAUGAAUAUUCAUCACUUUUAACUAAGAGGCUACGCAAUCCUCGCAAUCCUUUAACAUUACCCCAAAUGGAGAUCGGAACCGAAGCCCCCCUACGUAGAGUUAACAGUAAAUGAAGGAUUUUUUUCUCCCCAAAAGAGCUAAUAGCUAACUCUUCACCACUAUGAAUUUCUACUGUUAAACAUUUAUUACUACAUAAAUAUUGGGCAAAGUCGUGCACGAUAUCGUGCAUUUUGCAAUUAGAGAUUUCACCAUCAUCACCUUUGUCAAAAUCCUGAAAGAAUGAACGGUUAGCUAAGAUGUUGAAAUACUCAUCACCAAUAUCCUCCAUCUCGUUGCCUCCUUUCUCACUAAGAUAACCUUGUGCCAUCCAUAGUUCAAUUAACUUAUGCUUCCGUAUUUCAUAGUCUUUCGGAAAGACGGCACAAUAUGAGAAACAACACUUUACCUUGGAGGGUAAUUCUUUGUAACUCAACAAUAGAGGGGCUAAAAGGCCUUUCUCAAUUGCUUCUAGUUCCCAUAUCUCACUCUCUAAGAUAUUUUGCCAUUCUUUUUCAGUGUUUUUAGACCGCAAGAGACUAGCAAUUGUCUUUGCAGCUAAAGGUAAGCCCUUGCACUUUUUUACAAUUUCUCUACCAAUUUUUUCUAAAUUUUCACAUUUUCCUAUGGUCUUACCAGAAAUUGCCAACGACUGAAACACCGACCAGCAUUCCAUUUCAGACAAUACAUUGACAGAGAUAACAUGAGUUGAUCCCAUAAUACGGGCAACUGUUUCUUUACGUGUGGUAAUUAAAAUUUUACUUCCAUGGAGACCAUUCUUUAAACAUUUGUAGAAUGGUUCCCAGUUAUAGUAAUCUUCAUUCCACACGUCGUCUAAGACAAGAAGAAAUUUCUUCCCGGCAACACAUUCUUGAAUAUGUUGCAUGAGAGAUUGAAACUCUACAAGGUCUUUGGCAGAACCUGGCUUUAGAGACUCAAUGAUUGCUCUGGCGAUCCUGAACUCAUCAAAUGGCUCUGACACACAGACCCAUGUUCUUUUGUCAAAAUUUCUUUCAACAUCACCGUUGUUGUAGGCAAAUUGAGCAAGAGUUGUUUUGCCUAUGCCCCCCAUCCCAACAAGUGAGAUGAUAGAGGGGCCUUUCUGUUCUUUACUACUCUCACAUAACAACCUAUUAACGAGUUCGUUCUUCUCUUUUUCUCUACCAAAUAUCUCGGACUCAUCAAUUGAGGAGAUGCUUGGCACUCGUUGAUCCGCUCUCUCAUUAGUAACAUUCACAACAAAACCAAAUAUGUCUUUCUGUUUGGCAAUAUCAUCAAGAGUUUCGUUGAUUUCUUUUAUCUUCAGAGCAAUGUCACGACGUAAGACAAGUGGUUUGCAGGCAAAGCAAGAUGCAGUAGGAAAGAAGGAACAUACCUUCUUGUUAGGAACGAGAGCAUCAUUCUCGUGAUCAUCCACUCCGUCGAUUUGCAGUUUGAGCCUUGCAGUGUUCCACUCACCCAACACGUCUUCCAUGUCGUAACAUGCGUCUCUGAGUUGAUCGAGCCAGAGUCUGACAGUUUCCUCCUUCACUUGCCUUUUCUCAGCAUCAUGGAGCACAGCUCGAAUGGCUCGGAGAUUGCUGGUCAGCUUCUUCGCUUCCUUUCCGACACCCGUUACUAGCCUCACUUGUUCCUUCGCCUCUUCAACAGCCAUUGAAGUCAGCUGCUCCAAGAUAGGGGAAAGGAUCGCAUCAACCAUGGUGAAAAAGAAAAAAGAGAGAGAGAAGAAAUUGAUGGUGAAUUGUUGCAAAAGUAAGUAGCUAAUGCUGAAAGAAAUGAAGGAGCUGAUAAAGUGGUGAAAAUGUUGCCGUAUUCUUUCAAUUCUUAUAGUACUGCAAGCAAAAUUCUAAUUUAGAAAUAUUUCAUUUCAGCCCCUUGUGAAAGAAGCUACUGUUAUUAUUAUUACUUUUUUUUUUUUUAAUACCAGCAAAGAGUGAAAAUGACGUACAGUUAUGGACAGGAAAUAAUAUAUUGUUAGGUCCUACAUCGGCGAUUCACGCGAUAUAUGAAACUGACAAAGUUUUCCCUGAUCACUUUUUAAAUAAUUGAACAAGUUGUUGGAUAAUAUUUGUGAUCGUGUCGUCAUAUUGAGAUUUGGAAAUAUUUGCUUUAUAUGUGUAUUAUUAGCUUAGAAAUACCUUGACCAUCUCUUUCUUAUUUCCUUCUUCUUCUUUUUUUUUUUAAAUUUGACUCGUUUGCAUAAUUAGUUGAAAGGAAAGAAUGAACAUACUAAUAAACUAGGAAAACGCUGCCACAUAAUAUUUUAAGAUUCAUAUCAAACCACUUUAUUUUAGUUUUGUCAUUUUAGCAGAUGUCUGAUAGUGGGAGUUUAGAGUUUAAUCUCUAACUUUGCUUGUGAAGUGUGAAAAAUCAAAUAAUCUGUUCAACUUGUUUUUCAACAAAAAUAGAUAACAAUUCAUCAUCACUUAUUUCUCAUUAUGUAUAAAAUGAUCAAUCUAGAGCUGGAUAUUCGCAUAUUUUUCUAUUUCUAAUCAUUUCAAAAUAUAAUAUGAACUUUAAAAAAAAAUCAAAUUGUAAUAAAGUGACAUAAAUAUUAAAAAAUGAAAAUAAAAAGUCAAAAAUGUAAUGCGGAAAAAAGACAAAACCUUUUGUUUGCUCUAUUCAUGGCAUCUAAAUAUGAGAAAUGAUGGGUUGAUUGUCAUUGUGAACAACCAUAUAAUUGCAACACGUGAAUACCAUCAAAGUUAUAAUAAUUCAUGGACCCAUGCAUCUGUAUUUCUAAUUAUUCCGUGUAGAAGGCUAAAGUUUAAACAAUAAUAUUGUUUUAAAUAUCUCAAUAACAACAUGUCCAACAAAUCAGUUUGACAUGACAUAAUUUUAGUCAUAACGACUUUGUUAUAACUGAAACAUUAUUGGGAAAUUAAUGAAGAGUACUAAAUGAAACAACGAUGAGAAAGCUUAAUUAAGCCAAACAAUUUUGAUUAUUAACUCUCUAGUCUCUCUUGCACCAUUCCAGUAAUCCUCUGAUCGAUCACACAAUCUAAUGCAUAAUCUAUUCAUUUAAUUAAUCAAUUUGAAUAUAUAUAUAUAAGUGGUGGGAUCUAGAUCUACUGCAUGAAUUUUAAAGGAACUAUAAAUUAUUUAACAAAAUCUUAUUUUAAAACGAUUGUGCGGGACACAGCACAUGGCAACCCGGGCUUUAUCUCUUUUCACUAUUCAUAUACGUAGUGGCAGACAUCGGUGGCCAAUUAAGGGAUGAACACAACCAACCACUCCACCAAGUAAAUCUUGACGCGUGUGCUUUUAUGUCCAAUUAUUCUACUGUCUUUUUCUAAUGACUUUUAUCGCAGAAGUAAUUAAUUCUGAAAGAAAUGAAGGAGCUAAUAAUGUCGUGAAAGUGCUGCCACAUUCUUCCAAUUCUUAUGCUGCAAGCAAAGCUCCAAUUUACAAAUAUUUCAUUUCAAAAUAAGUUAUUGUUAUUAUUAUCUUUCUAAAUACUUACUGGUCAAAUCCAAUCAUAGUUAUUAAUUUAUUAAGCCCACGACCUGAUAAAUAAUUUAUUAAAAGAACACCAUGUGUAAAAAUUUAAUGAUUGUAUAAAUAAUUCGGUAACAGAAUUCUUUUCACCCGUUAUUAAUUGCUUGCAGAUGACUUACUGAAAUUACAAAUACGUUAAACAUUGUUUGACUGUGAAGUGAUGAAAAAUCAAAUAAUCUUUACUAUUAGUUUUGCAAUAAUAAUAAACAACAAAUCAUAGUUACUUAUUUCUUAUUUAUUAUGCAUAAAUUGAUCUAUCCAGAGAUGGAUAUUUACAUAUUCUUCUAUUUCUAAUCAUUUUGAAAUUUAAUAGAAUUUUUUUUAAAAAAAAUCAAUUUGUAAUAACGUGUCAUAGAUAUUAAAAAAUGAAAAGAGAAAGUCAAAAUUGUAAUGCUCAAAAAAGACAACUUUUUUUUUUCUUUUUCACGGCAUAUAAAUAUGUUGUUACAGGUAAUGGAAAUUUAGGCAGCGCUUAUGUUACAUUUGCUGCAAGUAACGGCCCGACAAAAUGGAUAGUUGGAUUUGUCAAUUUUUAGAUCCAACGGCUGUAAAGAAAUUUAACACAAAAUCAGUUACAGGUAUAGGUGGUAAAAUGAUUAUUAUAAUAAAGGAUGGGCAACCUGCCAAUACGGUUUUGGAAUUAUGUACUUAAGGGGUUAUUCGAUAAUGAAAUUAUAGAGGGAAAAGAAGAAUUAUGAGCGGAUGCUCUGGGUACGCAAAAAAUUCAAGAGGCAAAAAGUACAGUAAUUAAGUUUUCAAAGAGGGGAAAAUAAGAGUAGCACCAAACGAUGUUAUCAAUUUCCUUGUUCAAUUUUGCAGAUUCACAAAUUGAUUGCGAGAUUACUACUUAAAUAUUUAACUUGUCUUGUUUCACUGGAUGGUGAGGCUUCUGCCACUGAUGAGGCAAAGAAGAGAAACCAUGUCUUGAGAAAGCUUGAGAAGCGUAAAAAAGAUCGCACGCUUGACCCACAUAUUGAAGAGCAGUUUGCUAGUGGUCGUUUGUUAGCUUGCCUCUCAUCUCCGCCUAGCCACUGUGGACGUGCUGAUGGGUAUGUGACCCCUUUUAUUGCUUUUUAGUUUUCAAGAUUUGCUGUAAGGCCCUAAAAAUGGAAGUAUUCAACAUACACCAUCAUACCUGGACUUUCAUGUUGUUGAGGCUGGAUAUAUAUAUCCGUUCCUUUCCCUUGCCUCGUAAUGGGUAUUGGACAAUUGGUAGAAGUCCUUUUUUUUUUUAUGGCAUUAAACACCUUAAGAUUUGCUUUGGAGACCAUCAAAGUUGUUCCUUGUUUUUGUUUAUUUCCAUGGUAGUUAUUGGAUAGAUACAGGAGAACAAGACAGUAUAAUGGUAAUAUUUGCUUUCUUUUUUCUUGCAUUGAUGGGCUUUUUCAUUUCCGACAGAUACAUCUUGGAGAAAGAGCUGGAAUUCUACAUAAAGAAGAUACAGGGGUGCUGGUGCUGCUUAAAUUUUUGUUUAUUGAAACUCCAUACUGGAAUUUCUAGUCUUGCCUUGUGUUCUUAUUUUUAGUCUUAAUUAAGUUAAGAGAGUUGAGAUGAUAUCAGCAGUUGAACCUGGAUUUCUCACUUGUGUUAUUGUUACAUUUUGUUUUUGAAUGUUACCAGUGCCUGUCUUAGAAUUUCUUCCGUUCCUCUACGUUUUUCAUGAUUCUGUCUGCGUGAUCAAUGAAUUUGGUAGUUAAUGCCUUAAUGGUUAUUGCUUAAGGUUGAUAUAUUAAUUCCAUACCGAAAAUGAACCUGGUAUAUCUACGCAUGUGCAAUACAAUAACACAACCAUUUUAGGCACUAGUUAUGGGCAAGGCCAUCCCUAAAUAUACAAAUAACUGGGUUAAUGUAUUUUGUUUGGAAUUAGUUUCAUGUAAAAAUUAUUUUCUAACAUCUUUUCUAUAACAUUAUUUUUGUUGGCCUGAAGUUUGUGUGAGAGGAUUCUCUCUACAUGGAAUCUAGUUUCUCGACCUUUUCCCAUUUGUGCACCAUAUGUUGUGGUAAUAGAUGAGCAAAAAUCACGAUCCGUGAAUUUGCUAUCACAAGAACAAUCAAAGUAUGUAUCGAGGAACCAAUAAAGUGUUGGCUCCACUGGCAAUGGAGUCCUCCUUAAGUGGCUUGACUGAGUUUGCUCCUCAGUUUGAGUCGCAAGAAAAUCGCCUUUGUUAGGAGAACCUGUGCCUCCCGGUUCGAGCGGAGACUUCUAAUUUGAGCUGUGGUACGGACUUAAAGGUGCCUUCCACAGUUGGGGCCCUCCCCAGAAUACCUCGUGGUUAAGACAAAAAAAAAAGUAUGUAUUGAGGAAGCUCAUGGGGAUGAACGAAAAGCAAGCCGUUGCAGCUUAUUGAAAUAACAAGCAACAGUAAUUGGUUACUGAAACAAGAACAUGUAUUUCAUAAUUAAUACACCAUUUCUCUCUUAGGGAAAGCACGAUACCAUUUCUCUCUUAAGGAAGCGCAAUUGCAAUUGCGAUCAUAUUUCGGUAACAAAAACCAAACCAUGCAUGAUAAGCAUAUGAUAAAAAGUAGAGAAACAGGGGCAGCUGCUAUGUCUAAGAGUCAUUUCAUCAUACAUAUGGAAGGCGAUUUAACUGCAACCUGAGGUAUCCGGUACAGUCAAGAAAUCAAACAUGGGUAAUCAAGUUUUAUAUCACAUAUAUACACUACCCUCACAUAAAUUACAUUUCUUUACUCUAAUAAUAAUAAUAAAAAAAAAAUCGAAUAACGAAACAAAUUAUAAAAUUUUCGAAACACUCCCUCACAUCUGAAACCGUAGCUCCCCGUCAUUUCUCUAUGUAGUAAUAGUAGGCAGAACUCUGAAAUAAUUUGUUUUUUCCCCCAUUUUUUCAGCUUUUAUUCAAUAAUUUCCGUUAUAAAAUUGUUUGAAUAUUUCACAGAUUAAGUUUCAGAGGGGAGCUAUUGCUUCCUUCAAUAAACGGAUAAUGAGAUUAUGGAUUCUAAAGUGUUGAAAGCCAUAUAAUUUUUUUUUUAAUUUCAAAUUUUCUUUUUCUUUUCGAAAUUUUCAGUGAUAUGCUUAUCUAAUCUUCAACCGGCUAUUAUCAGGAAUGGAUAGGAUUGACUCUACCGUUGACACAUUUUGCAACUGGUUUCAACAUGUUUUUCAUACUGCCCCUUACUGACACGUGCUUCUCUUAUGUGAGUCAAUUGAUCACCUCACUUAUGUUACUUACACCAAAUGUAACAUAAGCUUACCCUGGAAUUUAUACCCCACAAAGGGAAUUUUCUUCCACAAAUGAUAUGAGAAUGUCGGGUGAAACAUGUGAAUGGGAAACUGCCUUACGAUUGCAGCAUGUGAACACUUGAAUUUCUUUUUGACAGAGCACAAUGAUAACUUACAGGUACUGCAAUAUUGCAUGAAGAUUCCUGGAAGUAGCCUGCAGCUCAAAUUAAUAAUUUUCUUUUGAACAAAACCAACCAACAAUAAUUUUCAAACCUGGAAGAUACUCAUUAAAAGAUGGAUCUUCAUCAUUUUUUUCCUCCCCACAACCCACCCACUAAAAACUUUAUUCAUUUAGUGUAACUUUUUAGUUUUGUUAGAAGAUACUUAGAACUGCCGAUAUCUUCCAAUUAUUGUUUUAAAAAUCUCAGUUGGCAUGCCCAAUUAACAAAUCAAUAGUCUUUGUUCGACAUAUUUAAAACAAAAAACAAAAAAAUCACACAUUGGUUUGAUGAGAGAUGAAAAGAAAAAGGAACACACUUACGAUCAUCAUUGCAGACGAUAUACACCAAGUAAAUCUUGAGACGUGCUUUUUCUAAUUAGCCAACUUUUUUUUUUAGGGAUAAAAAGAGACCGUCUCUUUUUCUUUUUCUUUUUUUCAUUAUUCAUAGUGGGAGACAAUGGUGGGGGCCUAGGGAUGAAAGUAAAAUUAAAAAUUAAACGUGAAUUAUGUGGUAAAAGUAUUUAAAUUAGAUAGUUGUAAGUUAAAAGUUAUAAUAUUAAAGUGUUUGGUUAACAUUAGUUGUUGUAACUUAAAAUAUAUAUUUAUAUAAUUUUUCAGCUGUAUAAUAAAAAAUUUAUUAUAUUUUUAAUAAUUUUAUUAAAAUUAUUAUUUAAAAUUUAUAUUCAUUAUAUUAUGAAGUUUUAUUUUAUAAUUACAUAUUAUGGGAUGUAAAGGAGUUUGGGAGCUGUAGCCUUUAGUUGGCUUAGGGAGAUGUUAAAGUUUUGAGAAAUGCUUAGAAAUUUAUUUUAUAAUUUGUUUUAAAGUUUAUUUUAUAAUUUAUUUAUAACGUAUAUAAUACGCUCUCAAUUUUAUUACUAUAAAGUUGAAUCUAUUUUAUUUACUUUAUAAUUUUUUUAUUCGGGUUCACUGACCGUGUACUCCAGCUAGAUUCUAAAAACAAAAAAUGAAAAUAUAGUCUAGAGAAAUAACAUCGAACAGACUCUUAACUUAUCAUCUUCACAUCAUCAUUUUGAAUUUCUUUAAUUAAUUCUUUUCAUUUUACUCUUCAAUAAUAAAUGUCACUUCAACUCGUGUGUGUACAUAAUAUAGGAUAGAAAAAUAAUGUCGAACAAACUCUAACAUAUCAUCUUCGAAUCAUCUUUUUGAAUUUCUUUAAUUAAUUCUUUUCAUUUUACUCUUCAUUAAUAAAUGUCACUUCAACUCGUGUGUGUAUAUAUUCAUACUAUAGAAAUUAAAAGUUUGAGUUUACUAUUGUAGAUGAAGUUAUGUUUUAAUUAUUAUUACUAUUACUAUUAAUUAAUUUAUAUUAUUAUUAUUUUUUGUUAAGUUAUUAUCAUUAACUAUUACCUCUGAUUUAUUAUUGUAUUAUUAACCACAACAAAUAAAUAAUAAUAAUAAUUUAUUUGAGGACAAAAGUAAAAUUAUGAAAUUUAUAAGGUGGUAAAAUAGAGAGUUCAAGGAAUAGAAACUUAAUUUCCUAUCCCCUCAUAGAAAUCAAGUUUAUGUUCUUUAAUUCCCAAAAACACGAGCCCUAUAUGUUUCAUUCCCAUUUCUAUCUAUAUUUAAGUAAGUAAACAUCAUCAAUCAUUUUCGUUUUGAAUUAUGAUUUUUCAAUCCAAAAAGUAGAUGCCAGUAAAAGAGAGAGUUAAACUUGACUCACCCGCUUUUCUAAUUGUUCUGAUUUGUUGUAUAAUUUAUUCUAAAGUUAUUUUAUAAUUUAUCUAAAACGUAUAUAACACGUUCUCAAUUUUAUUACUAUAAACUUACGCUGUAUUGUCUAGUCUUAGUAAGUAACGACUCAAUUGGAUGUGGGAGGAUCCCUUCCGCUUUGACCAAAAAAACUGUUUCGAGGACAGUAUUCUAACUCAACUCAAGUGCGGAACAAAGAAAGAAACGCUAAGAACGUUAAUGAAAGUUAACAUACAGAGCAAACUAGUCAAGAGCACACACAAGAGGAGAAAUAAUUAACACUAUUAUUUUACAUGGUUGAGUUUCUCUAAGCCCACGUCCACGAAGACAGACACUUGGCUACAUGCAUGCAUGCUUUAUUAAUUGACCAAGGAAUUUACAAGGAAACUCUCUUUUCCAGAAGUUACAAGAGCCCUGACACUAUUCCUCUCGAGGUCUAGUUCAAGUCGCCCAAGCCUCUCAAGCUCCCUUAAGAACUCUGCUUUCUUGCUGUUCAAGAAAGCGCCUGAUUGGAAUCACAUGCUCCACGUGACAUCUGGCAUAACAAAAUCUGCUGCCGUACCCGGCCAAUUUAUGAUGCCACUUAUGAUACCCUUUCACGUCAGCUUCCCUUGCCCUGCGUCAUCAUAGGACCUUACAUCUUGGAACCUACAUGAAACCUGAAUCUCUAACAGCCCAUCAUAAAAGAUAUUAGUUUUAAAAUAUGGAAAUUACCAAAAAUACCUGCGCAUUUUGAAAUUUGUCAAAAAAUGAAGAGUAGAAAGCAAUAGGAAAACGUAAUUAACCAACCAAUUUGAUUCCUCUGAUCGCUUUCAUCUCAGGACUCUUUGUCUUCCCGUGCGUCUUCGAUUCCACAGGACAAUCUUGGAUUGAAUUUAUACAUCAGAAGAAAAUAUCAGUAUGCCCAAAAUAAAAAAAGGUGUCAUAUAGAAGUAUUCUGUCGCAGACUUAACAUAUCUAUCAAGUAAGUAAUUAAUAAUUCCUAGUUUUAAAAGUAGAGCAAUUGGAUAUCAAGUCCGUAAAUUCAAGAUAUAAUAACUCUUGACAAUUAUAUAUUCAUAUGCAUGUUAGUAGCAUGAUGCUACCAAUAUUCGCACCUUUAGCAUUCAAACACUUGAUCAUUGAAAGAAUUUAAGAAAAAUGUUGUUUGGUUACUGAGAAAAUAUCUCAACAAAAUUUUCAGAGAACUUUCCGGAAUUCUUGCCUUUAUUUCACUUAAUGAAAAAUGUUACAAUUACAUUCAAUUUAUAUUCGAUGCUUUAGCAUUACUAUAACUAACUCAGAACAUACUACACAUGCUUAACUACAGCUCAAUAGAUACAGAGUAAGUCAUAACAAACUUUUAACUACUUAUGCUGAGGUGGCAACUGAGCUGUUAUUCCGCUUAAUCAUCUGACGUCACCAACUUGUUGGUUUUCCUCAGCUCGAGCGUCUUCUUCCUUUCUGUACAAUGAGCUUCUUUAACAACCACUGAAGCAGCCUUUCUCACCAACCUAGCUCCGACAUUAAUCUAUAGAGUUAUCAAGACCGACAUUCGAUGACGUAAUCACAUAAAGUUGCGCUUAUGCCUACAAAAUGGCUGAAUAACUAACCAAUUCGAUUCCUUAUUGCACCAUUCCUGAAUCCUGUCCUCUGAUACUGUAGGCCUCUUCCCGUCUUCCAUAUCGCAAGACACUUCACCUAGCCCAAAACAUACCGUUCUUGGCUUGAAAAUGGAAAGUCUCGUGCAGUGCAGAAAUCAGAGGAAUUAACCCACUUAUGACCAUCGUGUGUGUAUAUAGUAGACGAUGUAAUUAGAUAUCUAAUGAGUGUUUAAGAUAUUACAGAUUAAAAUGUUGCAUACUCUGGACAUUAACAUAACAUAAAAUUUGAUCCACAAUUUACUCAAUUUCUGAGUUAGCUUACCAAAAGUAUUGUAGCAGAAAUAACCAAAUCAACCCAGGUCCUUAUAUGGAGCCCCUGCGCGUCAAUUAAAGUAAAAGCUCGAUCCUCUGUUAUCCGAAAUGGUCAAACAAACAUUAAACCAAAAUGUUGAAGUCUCUUUCUUUUGCAAUUCUAGCUCUAACUGAUGAGAUUGAUCGAAAAGAAUAACCAACAUUAAGAUUAAUUUUUAUUUCCAUUUCUAGGAAAUGGAGAAUUAAAUGGAAUUCUCUCAGUAAAGCUCACCAAUAUCUGUCUCCGUCAUCACAUAGAUAUAUCAGACUAGCUAUCUAAUCCUUUUAUUUUAUUUUUUUCCUUUUUCAUUCAACAGCUUCAGCAUAUAACAAGAAAGCUUGGGCUCCUACAAUGUUUAGGCCUCAUCACGAUUAAGUACUCGUACGGUGGCGCAAGUAGCAGGCCUGGCGCCACUCUGGAUCUGCUAGAGAAAAAAAUUUUACACAUGCGCCCUGAAAAUCUGUUACAUAAAUUAUGUCCUAAUAAUCAGCAAUAAUUCAAAGAUGCGGAUAAAAAAAACACUAUAAUGUACAAACAUACACCUUGUUUAUAUUUUUUGUAUCACAUGAGACAUAAACUCCUCAAGAGUCAAGUCCGACAUUUAAUUCAACCCAUAAACUUGUGCUUGUAGCCCGCAUAAAUGGUUAAACAAAUAUUAUAUUUUCGACUUGAAGAUUGGAUUACAAAUAUAUAAUAGGAAAGUAAAAUGGAGGAGGAGAAAGAAAUUACCUGUAGUAGUUGAGAAAUUACUGCCAAAAAUAAACUUACCCGUAGGAAUUUUAUUUGGUUAGUAAUUGAGAAAGAAAUUACCUUAGGUGAUGACUGAAAGGAAUUUAGAUCUAUCAAAAAUAGAUGUAAGCAAUUAAAAACUAAAAAUUAAUUACUUAAUUAAUUUUUUCAGAAGUGCUGUUCAUUGUUACUGUUUACGGUUCUGUUCACCACAACUGUUUACAGUUACUUUACAAUUAUUGUUUAUCCACAUAAAAAAUAUUAAUUUUCCAAAAACACAAUAAAAUGCCGAAAAUAAAUUAUACAGAAAUUUUUACGUGGUUCGUAUUAAUCAAUCCUACAUCCACGUGGGCACGCCAAGAUGAAAAACAAUCACUAAGUUGAGAUGUUACAACUUAUGGAUUUACCAAACUUAAGACUCUCACUUACAGUUUAUCACCAUACAGUUUACUCAACCUUAGACUGAAUCUGCUUCUCUUAAAUAAUUGCUACCCCUCUUGAUCCACGAUCCUCAAGGCACUUUGCAAAGUGAUCAAUAGCAAUUCUUCAAUUCUUCAACGUCUAGUGAUCCAAGAUUGACAUAGAGUCUCAACAGAGAUAAAAAGAAGAUAAUAAAACAAAUCAACACAACAUGGUGCGCCAAAUUCGGAUUCUCUGGGGAGGAGGCCGAAUUUUGUUUCUCUACUUUAUACUUUGUGUUGUGCCUGUCUUCAAUUGUGAAAUACCUCUAUUUAUAUAGGCAAUAGGGUUUCACCAAAAUAGCAAGUUUGAAAAAACUUAGAUACUUUCCAAAUAAGAGUUUGUUUCCUCUUAUAAUUCCUAUGAAUCUGAAUAGGAAUAAAUAUGAUCUUCUUGCAUUACUUGUCUCCGAAGAAAUAUCUAGAGCAUUUAAUGACUUCUUGUUUGAACCAACUUCUUGCUCUAAAUAGAUCUCAUGCACUAAUAAUAGAAUCCCACCAUUAAUUGACUUGCUAAAAUAGACAUUUAAUUAAAUUAGGAAACAAAUAUUCCUAAUAAAUUGGAAUCUCACUAAAUUAGGAAAUUAAUAAAUUAAUCCCUAUUACAAGAUAUGCAAUAAAUAAACUUCCAAUUUAACUAGAACUUAACAAUGGUGACGGUACUCGUUUUAAAAAUCCUCAAGGUUCGAAUUUGACAUAUUGGUGAUUGAUUAGGAUGCUGGGAAUGUGGCAUAUCUUGGGGCAGUCCUCUCCUGUUUCCUUUAUGUGAUGCUCUUCUAAAACAGAACACGAACUAAUACCUGAAUCCUGCAGUGUUGUUUGUUGUGCGCAGAAUGCGAAAUCAAACGCACCAAAUAAUCAUAGAAAAAUAAAGGACACAAAAUUUAACUCAGAUACUAUCUAUGAAUAAUAUAACUCAGUACCUCACUUCAUGCAAGCUUUGAUAUAUUAUUCCUUCUAUCUAUUUAUCCACUGCUAAUUGUUUUAUAAAAAAUUUGGUGCACUGAAGUGAACCCAAUAACUCCUAGCUAGAAGCAACAAUGUCCAAUUAAGCCGCUGAUACAAUCAAUCAAACAAUAAGGAAAGGAUCAACAACACAAAAAGCACACGCAAGGCACAAAGAUUUACAUGAUAUAUCCACAGGUGGCGAUGCUGGUAUCCACUAUACGUGUGAUGAAAACAAGUGUAUAUAUAUAAAGAACACCACCUGUCUCCUCACAAUAAGCCCCUAGAAUACAAGCGCAAAUAAAAAUAAGCCCAUUCCUGCUCUGCUCUGCCCUCAUGUACGUAACUCCUCUGCUAAGAAAUAUUGCCUUAAAAUAUCCGUAGCAUAUGCAUGGAUGACCAGCAAAUCAGUUAAGACAUAUAAAAUUACCAUCCACACAGGAAAUCAGCAAAUCAGUGGUUUCAGGAAUUUGUAAUUGAACAUCAGAAUAUGAAGGGUACAGAGCAAUGGGAAAAAGUAAUUAACUAACCAAAGAAUUUAAAAUCCAAAUAAGAUAAUUAACGUAUGAAAGCUGGGUUGAAGCCCACCUUAGAGCCCCUGUCUAUGAAGGCCAAUAAAUCUCCUGUUAUCUGUUUGCUUAGAUCUUUAUGUAUUCCUAUACACUUUUUACUCUACUCUGUUGUUCAACCUUCCUUGGCUUUAUGUAUCUAUUUUAUGUGUAUUGAGAAGGCUAGUUACUAGGUGUCAACUCUUCUCUUUAAAAGAUAAAGUUUUGAGAAAAGGAAAGAAAGACACCCACUGCCAGCUACCUUGUCAUAUGUUGCAUACCAAAAUUGGAUAUUAAUUAUGGUCACUGUAUUCAACCUGCUAACCAAAUUCAAAAAAAUUAGUCUUCCCGAUUGAGUAAGUGAGCCCUGAAAAGACAUUACCCAGCUUAAAAGCCAAAUGAAUGUAGACUUGUGAUUGGUGUAAUUGGUUUUAAAGAAAUUAGUAUGCAUCCCCACUGAAAGCCAGUAAAUAGAGUUGAAGAAGAUGCUAAUGUGCCACAGCUAACAUAAGCAUAAUUUGAUCAGCCGAAUGACUACCAAAUGAAAAAGCAACAUAAACUUAACAGAACUGUUAGGAUUAAUCGAAGACACAUAUAUUUGUGCCAAUUUUCACACCUUUAGCAUUCAAACCUUGCUCUAGAACAACUGCUGUGGUCCGAUGCUGCAGGCAAAAAAUUUGACCUACGAAGCAGCCUCACUCACCAACCUAGCCCCAAAUAAAUUUUUUGAAAUGCCUUGAAAACCUUAACAUUAUAUCCAAAUAAACAUAACUUGUGUUUGUGACGUAAUGAGAUUGCAGUGCAUUCGUAGAGUGUACACUUAUCUGCCAUUUCGGAACAAUUUUUUUUUACUUCUCUUAAAAUUUGCAUAAGAAAUAGCAAUAUGGACAAGUACCUACUUAUGAAAGUGUUAAGAUAUUUUUACAUUUCUUCUUUUUCUUUCAAGGAGUAAAAGUAAUUAUUCAUUUUGUUGAUGCCCAUUUACUCUAUAAAUGCCAUCAUGACCACUGAGAUAUGUUCAUGAAUAAGCAUCUACCAUCAGAUCGAUUCGAAAACGGAAAGGAAUAGAGAAAUAAAAGGUGAAACAAAUGAAAUAAUUAAGGAGAGGAACGAGAUUCUGUUGUCUGGUUAUAACUGGAAAUCAAGCAUGAAAAAGGAAUUGAUUUUUCUUUUUUGGUUGACAGAAUACACUUUCAACUAUAAGAAAAAAAAGAAAAUUUGAAUUUGAUAUUUAACAGAAAAUUCAAAUAAAAUCAAAUUCAUUUGUAAUUUAAGUUCAUUUCAUUCUUAAAAUUUGACAUAUAGAAUAAAAUUUAUAACUGUUUCAAAUACAAAAACAUAUUAAUAUUCAAAAUAAUAAAAUUUUCAUGGCAAAAAGUUAAAAAUAAAAAAUAAAACGGUUUGAUGGAGAAUGGAAUUGAGCAGGGAAAGUUUGAUGGAAGAUGCACACACCAGUUGUGGAAUUAUACUGUUAGUCAUUUUAUUAAAAAAAUAAAAUAAAAAUAAAAAUCACCUCGUUGAAAGAUUAUUUGCUACGAUUAAAAAUUUUAUUUGGUGAGCAAAACGACGUACGGUCCUCAAAAACCUCAUGAUGAUGCAUGUAUAUUCUAAGCUUCAUGACAUCAUAAUAAAAAUGUUUUGCGAAGGUAACUGGAAAUUUGUUUUAUUCAAUGAAUGGUACAUUUACUGGUAUGUUUAAUAGUUUGUGGGUAAUUGUUUAUUUUCUUUUGGUUGAAAAUUUUGCCAUCUCACAAACUAACAACUAAAUUUGACUCCUUUUUAUAUAAAUUUUAUAGGCCCGCCGAUUCACCAAUUUUAUUUUAUAAUCCUUGUAUGUUUGUUAUCUUUAAAUUAUGACCCCAAGUACCAAAAUUCCAAUAUCACGGUCUUUUAUAAGGUUUGGUUAUGAUAAUUAAUUAAUACGAUAAAUACAAACAAGGCACAAAUUAAAAUUUAUAUGGUUCGGCAUAUUAAUUAAUAUGCCUACAUCCACGGAUGGUGAUACCGAAAAUCCACCACAUGAUGAAAAAGUGUACAAACAAUAAUGAAAAUAUUGCUUUCCCAACAAAUUAAUCAGUUAGACGAAUAUAUCCUAAUUAUAAUGGUUUUAUGACAUACAUACAUAUCAAAUUCAUGACUUGUAUUUUGCACUGUUGCAGAGCAAUGAGCAGGCUACAAUACGUUCACUUGUUGAACUCGACCCUCAGAGCGACGGAGAGGACCAUUUGCUGUAUCCUCGAAGACUACCAGAAGGAGGAUGGUGUGUGUGGAAGUACCAGAAGUUCUACAAUAUUGGAAAUGGUUCAGCCGUGAUCAUUGGGAAAAUUAAAAAACCGAAUAAGUAAUAUAAUAAUUAUAAAACCAGUCGGUUCGAUUUUUUAUUUUAAAAAAAUUAAAAAACUGAACCGAUUAUCAAAUAAACCGAAUAACAACCGGAAUCCCUAAAGUGAAUAAAGUCUAAACACUCUAAACUAAAUUGUGACCACUUCUUCUGAGUUCUGAUCAUCAACCUAAAUCGUGACCACUUCUGAGUUCUGAUCUUCAGCUGAAACUGAAAUCGUGACCUUCAGCCGCUGAAGUCUCGUCCCCGUUGCUCGUCGCCGCCACUGCUCGUCGCUGCUGCUUAUCGCUGCUGCUCGUCGCUGCUGCCCAUCGUUGUUGCUCGUCGCCGAGUCUCCGCCACUGUUACCACGUGCUGCAGCCGCUGUCAGCUGCUGCUGCUGCCACUGUCACCAACAACUCUCAGCAGAACAAGGUUUUAUGAAUUUAAAAAGCUAUAGCUAUAAUAUUUUGUUAUCAUUGGGGCCAUAUAAAUUCGUGAGAAUCCCAGAAAUUGCAUUGAAUUUUUACUGAAUCUGAUAAGCCCGGCAUAUCUUAAUCCCAGCUAUUUUGGCUAUAGCGUACCAUUCAUUCGUUAGCUCCAAGGGCCCAUCAACAGGCGUUUUCGGGAAUCGGCUGCGGGGCGAAUUUGGGGUAAAUGCAAGAGGAUAAAAAAAAGCUAUAGCCAAAAUAGCCAAGAGGAUCCCAAGGGCCCCGUCAAUAAGAAUUUGCAGACUUGCAUAAAUAAAUUAUGUAUGAUGCUAUAAAUGAUGCCCAUUAGCCAGACUUGCAUUCUCAGCAAUUCUUCUCCAUUUCUUAAUCCUUUUAUCCAUAUGCUUUGUUAAUGCACAAUACUGUUGAAUAAACUUUGUAUUCCUUUUAUCAGUUUGUUUGAGAUUAAAAUUGGAGGUAAUAAAAUGUUGUUUUGAUUUCAAUUGAGAUGUAUUUAGCUUGAAACAUUGACUUCAUGAAACUAAUUUUGACACUUGAUUUUCUGAUCGAAUUUAUGAUUAUAAUUGGUGAGGAUGAUUUGAAUUUAAUUGCAUGCCAUCAGCCAGGCCAGUGUUGGAAUGUCAUAAUAUUUUUUAUUUGUAAUCCCCAAGAUUUUUUAUUUGUUGCUUCUGUUGUAUUGAUUUGUUGUUGUAGAAUGGAAAACUAUGAUGAGGAGGAAGUGCAAGAGGUGGAGGUUGAUGAUGUGAAAAAAAGAAAAAUACUUUGAGACAUAUUGUGAUUUUUUGUUUGUUAACUUUUUAUGUUUGUGGUAGAUUUAUUAAUUUAAGGUUUUAAAUUUAAAAAAAUCCAAAAUAGGCCCAAUAGGCCUAUAAUCGAAAUAAUCGAACCGAACCGAAUCGAAUUAUUUCAAUUAAUCGAGUAUUUGAUUAUUUCGAUAAUUCGAUUAAUCGCGAUUAUAAUUUUAAAAUAAUUGUAAUCAAACGAUAAUGAAAAGUUUAGUAAAAACCCGAACCGAACCGCGCCCAUCCCUAGCCACCAGAGCUUUAGUUCAGUGAUUUUCUCAAUACGACGUACGGUCCUCAGAACCUUAUCAUGAUGCUUGUAUAGUCUAAGCUUCAUGACAUCAUAUUAAACAGUGUUGGCUUUAACCAAUUGGGGGCCUUAGCCGAAAUUUCAUUUUAGGCAUUCUAAUGUUAAAAUAUCAACUAUCACAAGAAUAUUAAAUAGCUAAAAAAACUCUCACAACAACAUCAAGUAGCUCAAAAUUCAACAAUAUCUUGAAUUACAACAAUUAUUAACAAGAUCUAAAAAAAACAAAAAAUAAUAGUUGGAAAGAUAUCUAUUUCUUUCCACAUGAAUAUUAACUAACUUUGUCUUCCACAAAAUCCAGCUCCUUAAGAUGCUCUAAAACUUCUUCAGCCAUAACCAUAAUCAUCUCGUGAACUUUAUAUCAUUGCUCCUACCUAAUAUGAUCCUAAUCCAUAUUUUCUAGUUGACAUGCUUUUCAAAUUAAAAAAAAAAUAAACAAACAAUUUUUUUUUCUAGAUUAUUCAAGCCAAAAUCAAUACAAAAAAUAAAAAAAUAAAUUAAAUUUAAAAAGGAUAAGAACAGUAAUAAAAAAAUGGAAAAAAAUAGAAUGAUAGCACCUAUAAUUGAGUCAAUUGACUAGUUGAGAUGAGGAUGAUGAUGGCAAUGAAUUUUGUAGAGAAAGAGAAGAGAGCACAAAAACUUUUUGUUGAAAGUAGCUUUGAUUCAAUGUGUAUCGGUUUAUAGAUAAUGAGUUUUUAAAUAUAUUUUAAUAGAAUACUAAAAGUUAGCUCUAAAAAUCCAACGUUACUAAUUUUAAUAAGAGCUCUUUUUGGAAAGGGAAAGCAUUCAUUUGUUUUUUGGGAAAAUAGUAAAAGAAAAUAAAGAAGUAAUGUUAAAAAUAAUUAUUAUACCAUACAAAUAUAUUUUAUAUUUAAGGUAAAGAUUAUUAAAUAGGAGAGACAAUUAUGAAUGAGAGUAAUGAUAGGGUAAAGACUAAAAAUUAGUUUUUUUUAAUUGUAUAAAAAAAAUAUACGUAACUUAAUUUUUUAAUCUUAAAAAAAUUAAUUAUAUUGAUUAAUAAAUAGAUACCAAAAAAUUAAGGUCUUCCUAAAUACGAGGCCCUAGGCAACUGCCUAGUUUGCCUAGUCCUAAAGCCGUCACUGAUAUUAAAAUCAUAUUGCUAAGGUAAUUAGAAAUUUGUUUUAUCCAAUGAAUGUUACAUUUACUGGCAUGUUUAAUAUUUUGCUUUGGUUAAAAAUUUUGCUAUCUAACAGCUAAUAACUGAAUUUGACUCAUUUUUAUGUAAAUUUUAUAGACCCACCAAUUCACCAUUUUUUAUGUUAUGAUCAUUGUAGGCAUGUUAUUUUUUAAAUUAUGAUUCCAUGUGAAAUCAAAAUUUAAAUUUCACCAUCUUUUAUAAGAUUUGAUUAUAAUAAUCAAAUAACACAAUAAACAAACACAAGGCAAAAAAAUUUACGCGAGUUGACAUAUUAAUUAAUAUGCCUACAUCCACGGGUGGUGAUACUAAUAAGCCACUAUAUAAUGAAAAAGUGUACAAAUAACAAUAAGCUCUCAGAUGAGCACAAAAAAAGAAAAAGAAAAAGAAAAAAGAAACACCAAUCUCAACACUCAAAAACAAUCAAUCCCCAGCAGUUUGGCCUCACAAGAGCUCUCUCUGCGUUGUGCUUUCCCUCGUUCAUUCUCUUUACAAAUACAAGGCUCGCAAAAAUACAAAACGAAUUACUGAAAACAUACAUAACAGAUUAAAAAAGCACGCGCCGCGCCCGUCCCCCAAUUCCUGCUCUGCGACGCCAUUUCGUAAUUCCUUUUUGGCUGAAAAAUUAAUAUCGCUUUCCCCAACAAAAAAACAAAUGAAUCAGUUAGACAAAUAUAUCUAAUUUUAAUGGACAUUGUUAAAUUAAUGAAGAAGAGUAGAGAGAGAGCAAACGAGAAGGAAAGCGUAUACAAAUUAUAAUUACUAACCAGAGUUAUUAGCACCAUUACAUAUAUAUAUCCCUGCUGAAUCCCCUCCUCUGUUCACCAUUAGUUUCUAAAAUGGAUUAAAAAAUAACUACUAAUUAAUUUUAAUUAAAAUAGAGUGAGACACGCAAUGCAUGCAGGAGAUCUAGAAAUAAAUUACCCGUGGCGGUGGCCGUGGGUGAUUGUAAUUGACUAAUUGCAGCCGCGCACUUCACUCAAUCUCGAUGUUGGGAAUGUGGCGUAUCUUAGGCCAGUCCUCUCCUGUCUCCUCUCUGUAACGUUCUUCUAAAAUAUAACACCGCCUAAUAUACAAUUCCUGGAGCGUUGUCUUCUGAAGAAGGUGAUCGGGCAGUGCUUUUAAUUUAGGGCAACUCGAAAUAGUCAAGGAAGAAAGACGUGGCAUGAUUAUGAUUUCUUCCUUUAUUGCAGUCCCGAGAUCCCACUCUUCCAGUUCUUCCAUAUAACGAAAUCUGAGCAGUUUCAAUUUGGGAAAGGCAAUAACUGAGCAGCCAUCCGUAUCACCUUCUACUCCCAGAAAUUCAUUACCCACUCUUUUCACAUUUUCCAUUCCUAAAAUAUGAAGAGAUUCAAGGGAUGGCAAUUUUCCCAAAGGAGGCAAAUGCUCACAAUUUCUCCACCCGAAGAGAAAUAAAACCGUUAAAUUGGUUAACGACAUGAACCAAUUUAUGGGGACAACAUUCCUCCUCCCUCUGUAUUCGUCUAUCCGUAAUUUCUUUAAAUUAGGAGAUGGUCCCAAGGCUUCAAGAAGCCGUUCAUCUUCAUCCUCCUCAUUCUCCCUCCUCCCAGCUCGUUCUUCAUCUCCAUCUCUUGAAUGACCAAAAUGAAGUCCCAAUUUUAAGAGAUUUUUCUUUUUCUCAAGUUCAGCCCUUCUAGCCUCCCCCGCAUCUGACACAUCACCCAGCCCACGUAUCCUGCAGUCUCGAAGGAGGUUAAGCUUUUUAAGAGACCCAAGGCUACAUGCUCUGUCAUACCCUCCACCCACAACAAAAUCUCUCACCCUCCGAAGCCUGAUUAAUUCCCCAAUCCCUGCCGGCAAGUAUCUUAAAGAAUCAGUCCCCUCAUUGUGUAAAUACAUCAGCUUUCUUAACUUCCCUAUCCCUCGAGGUAAUUCUCUAAGUUUUACACAACAACUAACAUCUAAACGUUCUAACUUAUAUAACUCACACAUGGUCUCAGGUAAUUUUUCUAUCUUCUUUAUACCUUUCAAAUUAAGGUAUUUCAAAUGUAACAAUUUUUCUAUAUUUGUUGGAAUUUCCUUGAUGUAAUUCACACAUGACCACCUAUCACGAUUUAAUUUUAAUGCCCUUAAACAAGUUAAUUUAUCAAAUAAUUGAGGUAGGACUUUGCUAGACCAUGAAUGUUCAUCACUUUCAACUAAGAGGCUACGCAAUCGUCGCAAUCGUUUAACAUUACCCCAAAUGGAGAUCGGAACCGAAGCCCCUCUAUAUAAAGUUAACAUUAAAUGAAGGAUUUUUUUCUCCCCAAAAGAGCUCAUAGCUGACUCUUCACCACCAUGAAUUUCUAUUGUUGAACACUCAUUACUACAUAAGUAUUGAGCAAAGUCAUGCACUAUAUCGUGCAUUUUGCAAGUAGAGAUUUCACCAUCAUCAUCUUUUUUAAAAUCCUGAAAGAAUGAAUGGCUAGCUAAGAUGUUGAAAUACUCUUCACCAAUAUCCUCCAUCUCUUUGGCCCCUUUCUCACUAAGAUAACCUUGUGCCAUCCAUAGGUUAAUUAACUCUUUUUUUUGUAUGCCGUAGUCUUUUGGAAAGACGGCACAAUAAGUGAAACAUUGUUUAACCUUAGAGGGCAAUUCAUUGUAACUCAACAAUAGAGGGGUCAAAAGGCCUCUCUCAACCUCUUCUAGUUCCCAUAUCUCACUCUCUAAGAUAUUUUGCCAUUCUUUUUCAGUGUUUCUAGACUGCAGGAGACUAGCAAUCGUCUUUGCAGCUAAAGGUAAGCCCUUGCACUUGCUUACAAUUUGUCGGCCAAUAUUUUCUAAUUUUUCACAUUCCUCCUUGGACCUGUCGAAAAAUGCUAACUGCUCAAACACUGACCAGCAUUCUAUUUCAGACAAUACAUUGACAGAGGUAACAUUGGUUGAUCUGAUACAACGGGCAACUCUAUCCUUACGCGUGGUAAUCAAAAUUUUACUUCCAUGGAGACCAUUCUUUAAACAUUUGUAGAAUGGUUCCCACUUAUAGUAAUCUUCGUUCCACACGUCGUCUAAGACAAGAAGAAAUUUCUUCCCUUCAACCCAUUCUUGAAUGUGUUGCAUGAGAGAUUGAAACUCUACAAGGUCUUUGGCGGAACCUGGUUUCAGAGCCUCAAUGAGUGCUCUAGCGAUUCUGAACUCAUCAAAAGGAUCUGACACACAGACCCAUAUUCUUUCAUCAAAAUGUUUUUUAACAUCACCGUUGUUGUAGGCAAAUUGAGCAAGAGUUGUUUUGCCUAUGCCCCCCAUCCCAACAAGUGAGAUGAUACAAGGGCCUUUCUGUUCCUUACUGUUAAGGAAGCACACAUCAGUAGCAUAGACUGUAAAGCAGAGGAUAGCAGCAGCUCCAGCUUACAGUUAAGAGUUGAUGACAUGGCAUGCCAGCUGGCACCUGGUGGUUAUGUAAUCACUUGUUCACGUGAUAAUUAGUUGAAGUUGUUAUAGCUAGCUAGAAUUAGUUUUGUAAUGAGUUAACUAAUUGAGCUUAGCAUCAGUUGUGUAUAUAAGCAUCUCUGUGUACAGUUUCAUAAGUAAGUUUUAGAUGAAUAAAAUCGUGUGAGCAAAAAGCUUUCAGUUCUUAAAUUUUCUCAGCUUCCAAACAUCCUUUUUCUGAUUUCUUACUUGGUAUCAGAGCUUUAAUGGCAUCUGUGAAUCUUGCCUCUUCCUUAAAUCAAGUUCAUAAUACCGCUGCACAUUCAACAACAGUCAAUUUCACUUUCAAUACUCCCGUUAAACUUGAUCAAUCAAACUAUUUGAUCUGGAGAUCUCAAGUGCUUGCUUCAAUUUGAGGAAAUAGACUUGAGAAAUUUAUCGAUGAGUCAAUCACUCCACCUCCUUCUCAUAUUGCUCAUAGAUAUGAUGAUGAGCUUAGAUCUGUGGAGAAUCCAGAAUUUGCAACCUGGAGAGCACAAGAUCAAAUACUUCUCGGUUGGCUUCUUUCAUCCAUGAGUGAAGGUAUCAUCAGUUUGGUGUUCAAUCUUGAGACUUCAUUGGAGGUAUGGAAAGCUGUUGAAACUCAAUUUGGAUCUCAAUCAAAGUCUAGGUUAUUACAUUUGAGAUAUUUGAUGAAUUCCACUAGAAAGGAUGAUCUUAAAAUGACUGAAUACUUCAUUAAAAUGAAAUCUAUUGCUGAUAACAUGGCUGCAGCAGGAAGUGCAUUAAGCAAUGAUGAUUUGAUUUUACAUGUACUCUCUGGUCUAGGUCCUGAUUAUAAUUCUGUUGCUACUUACAUCACUGGACAAGUAGGAACUGGAAAAAUGAAUGUUAAUGAGGCUUAUGCUAUGCUGUUAACUCAAGAGGCUAGGAUUGAUCAACAAACUCAUAUGCUUGCUAAUAUGGAUGUUAAACACAAUUUAGAAGCUAACUUUGCACAAAAUAGAGGACCUAAGAGAGGAAACUUCUCAGGAGGAAAAGGUUUUGGUAGUCUUGGAUAUAAUACAGGCUACAGUAAUGCUGGAAAUUCUGGAAAUAGUGGUUACAGAGGAAAUUAUGGAUCAUCUGGUUUUGCUGUUGGAAGUGCUGGAAAUAAUGGUUACAGAGGAAACUAUGGAGGAGGAGGAGGAGGAAACUGGAAUAAUAAUAAUGCUGUCAAUAAUGGCAAAACACCUGGAAAUCCUAAAUCUCAGUGGAAUCCUUCUAAGCCUACAUGUCAAGUUUGUCUCAAAAUAGGUCACACAGCUAAUGUAUGCUGGAAGCUGGAAGAAUUUAUUGCUUCAGGAGCUUAUAGACCACCUCCAAACAGGAAUCCGAAAUCUGCAUAUCUGGCAAACAUGGAAGGAUCAUCUGAUACAAAUUGGUACCUUGACAGUGGUGCCACUCACCAUCUCACAAAUGACAUGAACAAUAUGCAGAUUUCUGAAUCAUUUACAGGUACAUCUAAACUCAUUAUUGGUAAUGGUACUGGCUUGAAUAUUACACAUAUUGGAAAAGCUGUUCUGAGAUUGCACAACUGCACUGAUUCCACUGUGAUUAAACUAAACAAUAUACUUUUAGUUCCACAAAUAACCAAGAACCUUAUAAGCAUUUCUCAGCUAACCAAAGACAACAAUAUCACAGUUGAGUUUGCUGACAAAUCUUGUUUUGUGAAGGACAAGGUGAAGAAUUUGAUCAUACUGCAGGGCAAGGCUGAAAAAGGCUUGUACAGAUUGCUAUUAGUGUCCUCAAAUAAAACUUCUGCUCAGUCUUCCUUUCAAGGUCAUGUUGCCAAUAUUGAGUCUUCUUUUCAGUCUUUUGUUCCUUUGUCAAUGCUAUCAACUGUCAAUCUCAGUCAGUCAAAUAAUCACUGCUUGUAAAAUGUGGCAGCAGAACCUUGUAUGAACUCUAAGUGUCUUUUAAGCACUUCUGUAUUACAUCAGAGGCUAGGUCAUCCUAACUCUAAGAUCUUAAACCAUGUAAUACAAUCUUGUUCCUCUUUCAAACCUAUCAAUGGAAAUAAAGAGUUUGAUUCAUGUGAUGCUUGUAAAUUUGGGAAAAUGCAUAGAUUACACUUUCCAGCAACUGAAACAAAAACAAAACAACCUUUAGCCAUUUUACAUACUGAUUUAUGGGGACCAGCUCCAGUGGUUUCCACACAAGGUUAUAAAUAUUAUGUGAGCUUUGUGGAUGAUUUUACCAGAUUCACUUGGAUAUUUCCCCUGAAAACCAAAGAUGAAACUCUUCAUGUGUUCAAAAUUUUCAAAGCUCAAGUUGAAAAACAAUUAGAACAGCCCAUUAAAUGUCUUCAAUCUGACUGGGGAGGGGAAUUCAGAUCCUUUAGCAAAUAUCUUCAAGAAGAAGGGAUAGAAUUUAGACACUCUUGUCCUUAUACACAUAACCAAAAUGGUUUGGUAGAAAGGAAACACAGACACAUCACUGAAUCAGGACUUACUCUUCUUGCACAAGCUAAAUUACCUAUCAAAUUCUGGUGGGAUUCCUUUCAUACAGCAGCCUAUCUCAUUAACAGAUUACCAACACCUAUUCUAGCAAUGAAAACUCCAUAUGAAUCAAUCUUUCAUCAUCAACCAGACUAUAACUUUCUAAGAACAUUUGGAUGUUCUUGUUUUCCUUUUCUCAGAGAAUACAAUAACCAUAAAUUUCAUUUCCAUACUUCAAAGUGUGUCUUCUUAGGAUAUAGUCCUUCACAUAAGGGCUAUAAGUGUCUACAUUCAUCAGGCAAAAUUUAUAUUGCCAGUCAUGUAUUGUUUGAUGAAACCACUUUCCCUUACAUUUCAGAUCCAAAUUUUUCUUCCUCUUCUAAACACACUUCCUCUGAUUUUCAAUAUAAUCUUUUUCAAAGGUUUACUCUGUCAGUUCCUAAUAGCAUUCUGAACAGUCUUGAAGCUACUGCAGCAGAUCAAUUCCCUGUCAAUCAUUCUUUAUCAUCAAAUUCACCUCAAUCUCAGUCACCCACAAAUCAGACCUCUACAUCUUUGCCUUCACCUGCACCCCAGUCACCAGCACCACAAAUACCCUGCACAACACAAACAUCUCAGCCUAAACCUUCUACUUCCACCCAUCAUAUGAUAACCAGAGCUAGAGCUGGUAUUUUCAAACCAAAGACCUUUCUAACAACUCACAACAGCUUAGAACCAUCCACUGUCCCUGAGGCAUUAUCAGAUCCUAAAUGGAAAGAUGCAAUGCAAACUGAGUAUGAUGCUCUUAUUCACAACAACACUUGGACUCUUGUGCCAAUGUCUUCAACAUACAAGCUAGUUGGUUGUAAGUGGGUAUUCAGAACAAAGUAUAACACAGAUGGAACUGUCAGCAAGUAUAAAGCUAGAUUGGUUGCAAAGGGAUUUCACCAAACAGCAGGGGUAGAUUAUUCAGAAACUUUCAGUCCAGUGGUGAAGUCUUCAACAGUUAGAGUUAUACUCAGCUUGGCAGUUAUAAAAGGGUGGAAAGUCAGACAAAUUGAUGUAAAUAAUGCAUUCCUUAAUGGAGAUCUUUCUGAAAACGUAUAUAUGACACAACCAGAAGGCUUUGUAACUAAGGAAGGGUACAUCUGCAAACUCAAUAAAGCUCUCUAUGGUCUAAAACAAGCUCCACGAGCCUGGUAUGAAAAAUUGAAGGGUUGUCUAACUACUUGGCAAUUUCUUAAUUCAAAGGCUGAUACAUCUCUAUUCAUUAAACAUGAUACAAGGGGCUUAAUCAUAGUAUUGAUCUAUGUGGAUGAUAUUCUAGUCACUGGACCAGAUUCUGCUUUACUAGAGGAUUUUAUUGUUAAACUCAGUCAGACAUUUGCCUUGAAAGAUCUGGGAUUAGUUGCUUACUUCCUAGGUGUUGAAGUUAGUUACUUUGAUGAAGGUAUGCAUCUAUCUCAAACAAAGUAUAUUAAAGACUUGCUGAGUAAAGCAUCUAUGGAGAAUUGCAAAGGGUCUGAUACUCCUCUUAGUACUGGUUUGAAGCUAGAAAGAAAUGUCAGGGGUCCUUUGGGUCAGGAGUUCGAAAAUCCAACACAAUACAGAAGCAUAGUUGGAGGGUUACAAUAUCUAAUUCUCACCAGGCCGGAUAUAGCUUAUUCAGUUCAUAAGCUCAGUCAAUACCUCAGUUCUCCUACUGUUCAGCACUGGUUAGCCUGCAAAAGAGUUCUUCGAUAUCUCCAGUCAACCAUCACCUAUGGUCUCUAUCUCAGAAAGGAAGCAACUCUGGAAAUUGGAAUAACAGGCUAUACAGAUGCUGACUGGGCUUGUGAUCUUGACGACAGAAAAUCAAUUGGAGCCUAUUGUAUAUACUUGGGUAACAAUCUGAUUUCAUGGUCUUCCAAAAAGCAAGCUAUUAUAGCAAAGUCAAGCACAGAAAGUGAAUAUCGAGCCCUGUCAGCAGCAUGCUCAGAAAUUUCUUGGUUGCAGUCUUUAUUUUCAGAACUCAACAUUGCUAAACUACCUACUCCAGUUCUUUGGUGUGAUAACCAAAGUGCAGGGGAGCUAGCUCGCAACCCUGUGUUUCACUCAAAAUCUAAGCACAUAGAGUUGGAUGUUCAUUAUGUUAGAGACAAAGUGCUUGGAAAAGAAUUGGAGGUUAGAUACAUUCCUACUGAAGAACAAGUAGCUGAUGUUCUGACUAAGCCCUUAUCUUUUUCUAAAUUCAGCUUUUUUAGAUCCAAGCUCAAUGUCGUUAGUAGACCUUUGAGCUUGAGAGGGGAUGUUAAGGAAGCACACAUCAGUAGCAUAGACUGUAAAGCAGAGGAUAGCAGUAGCUCCAGCUUACAGUUAAGAGUUGAUGACAUGGCAUGCCAGCUGGCACCUGGUGGUUAUGUAAUCACUUGUUCACGUGAUAAUUAGUUGAAGUUGUUAUAGCUAGCUAGAAUUAGUUUUGUAAUGAGUUAACUAAUUGAGCUGAGCAUCAGUUGUGUAUAUAAGCAUCUCUGUGUACAGUUUCAUAAGUAAGUUUUAGAUGAAUAAAAUCGUGUGAGCCAAAAGCUUUCAGUUCUUAAAUUUUCUCAGCUUCCAAACAUCCUUUUUCUGAUUUCUUACUCUUACUACUCUCAUAUAACAACCUAUUAACGAGUUCGUUCUUCUCUUUUUGUCUACCAAAUAUCUCGGACUCAUCAAUUGAGGAGAUACUUGCCGGCCCUCGUUGAUCCGCUCUCUCAUUACUCUUGGUAACAUUCACAGCAAAACCAAACAUGGCUUUUUGUUUGUCAAUAUCAUCAAGAGUUUCAUUGAUGUCUUUCAUCUUGAGAGCAAUGCGACGACGUAAAAAAAUAGGUUUGCAGCCAAAGCAAGAGGCAGCAGGAAAGAAGGAACCUACCUUCUUCUUAGGAACGAGAGCAUCAUUCUCAUGAUCAUCCACCCCAUCGAUCUGCAGUUUGAGCCUUGCAGUGUUCCACUCACCCAACACAUCUUCCAUGUCGUAACAUGCGCAUCUGAGUCGAUCGAGCCAGAGUCUGACAGUUUCCUCCUUUACUUGCCUUUUCUCUGCAUCAUGGAGCACAGCUCGAAUGGCUUGGAGAUUGCUGGUCAGCUUCUUCGAUUCCUUUCCGACACCCGUUACAAGCCUCAAUUGUUCCUUCGCCUCUUCAACAGCCAUUGAGGUCAGCAGCUCCAAGAGAGGGGAAAUGAUCGCAUCAACCAUGGUGAAAAAGAAAAAUGAGAGAGAGAAGAAAUUGAUGGUGAGUUGUAGCAAAAGUAAGUAGCUAAUGCUGAAAGAAAUGAAGGAGCUGAUAAUGUGGUGAAAAUGUUGCCGUAUUCUUUCAAUUCUUAUAGUACUGCA